CAUGACAAAUCCUGAAUUUGUAAAAGAUGUCUCCAAGGACUCGAUUAAUGGAUGGUCCAAUGAUAAUGUCUACAACAAUAGUAACAAUGAGAAUAUGGAGGCUUUGUUGUGGCCAUCGCUAGGGAAUAUCUCGCCAUCAUCGCUUACUUUGUCUAUUGCUAUGGCUGCUGGUGAUGUCCUUGAUGAGGAUAUGGGAUUGGAUAGUAGAUUCAUGAAUACUAAUCAGCACAAGUUUUGGGAGAACAGUUUCCCUUUUGCGUCUGGAGGACCAUUAGCUGAAGUUCUACAUCCUAGCUCAUCUUUUAGUCUUGGUGACAACCCAACCUCAUCGUACACAAGCAAUGGCGAUUCAAUAAGCCCUGCAGCAACGACCGUCUCAUCACCAUCUGGGGUUCUUCAAAAGACUGUGUUUUCGCACUCUGAUGGCAGUGUUUGCAACAGCCCAAUUCUCGCAGCUCCAAGUAAUAUUACACCUGAGACUGUUCAAUUCCAGUGGUUAAGAUAGAAUGCCAGAAUGGCUCCUCCUUUUUUUUGUUUUGUGUGUUGUUUUACUUUUCUUGCUUUCUAUCAACUGAAGCCAGAAGUUUACAAAGUGACUGUCUAAGGUUCAUUUUCAGGCAAUUCUCAGUACCCAAACAUAAGAUCAAAGAACUUUUAAGCUAUUACUAUCGUACAAGUUGUUUAGGAAAUAUGUACACUUGUAUGUCCUAAGUGUACAGUUUUCUGCCUUGCUUGUGUUCUUGUUUCUUGAAGUGUUGUGUGUGCGUCUGAACACAUCAAAAAUGAAUUAGAAUGAUUUGAUCUCGGGUUUAUCAUGAAAAUGAACUAUGUAAUUACGCACAUUUGGGGUUCUUAAGUACUCUUUAUCACCGUAUCAGUACAGUUCAGAACACAACUUUGAUGAAAUGGAAUUUGAGUGUAUGAAAAACAGGGCCUAGUUAUUUUGUCUUUUUGAUAGGAAGGCAUAAUGGCCCUACUUUCCACAAAGGCAAGAGUAAGGUCCUCGUAUAUCAUAUAUUUUAUCCUCACGUUAGAUUACAUUAGAUAUGAUAAUUGCCCUACGAUUGUUUGUUCUCUUUUGAGCUGGCUAGUCUUUAGGACUGUGGCCUUCUGGCUGAAAAAUAUCUCAUUUGACUUUAUAGACAGACAACUAUACCCUGCAGUUGCUCCGUUAGGGGAAAAAAAGUUGACGAAAUCAUCGACUCCUUGAGAUAUUGGAACCGGCAACUUAUAUACAAGGAUUAUAGACGACGAUAAAUUCACACAUGGUAGCAGACAAUAUUAAAGAAAGUGAAUAUCUUAUUAAGCAUGCAAGCAAUCAAACAGUUCUAGAGAGUUUCUUUGUGAAUAUUGGGUAUACUUGGAGACGAUAAUAAAAGCUAGUUCGUACACCCUGUGCUCCCUUUUUGGUCAUGUGAGACUAUAAUUUAUAAACAUAAUGUGUGGUUCUUUGAUAUAAAAAAAUGCAGUGUAUAUUAGUACCAUUAUUUUAUUUUUUGAAAUUGGGGUAGGGGAUUACAAAAUGGGAAUGUAUCCUCUUCACCAAUAAGGUGAAAAUGUAGAUAGUCACCCAAUUGAGCCAACUAAAAUUACAAAAUAGUUAAUAUAAGUACUAAUUUUAUAACUCUGUAAGAUUUAUUUCUCCAAGGUAAACUAAUCUAUUACCAAACAUGUUCAAGAUUCGGUAACAUUUUACAUUAAUUACGAAAACAUAGUACGAAAUCUUUCUUUGAAAAAAAGAGGGAGUGUUUUAUUUGAAUAAAUUAUAACACUAUAUGAUGCAUAUUAUAUGUUGAGAUGGCCGAGUUGGUCUAAGGCGCCAGAUUAAGGUUCUGGUCCGAAAGGGCGUGGGUUCAAAUCCCACUCUCAACAAAAUUAUUUUUUAUAAUUAUAUAAGUACUACAUAUCAUAUUUAAGCUUUAAAAUUGAUGUGAUGGAGAUAAAUGAUUGAUUAGUUCCCUUUGAUUCAUCAUUUGAAGUGAUACCUUCCAUUCAAUUUUAACUAAUUACUCCCUCCGUUUAAAAAAGAUUGGUCUGGUUUGACUUGGCACGAAGUUUAAGAAAUUAAAGAAGACUUUUAAAUCUUGUGGUCCUAAAUUAAAGUUAUGUCAAAUGUACAAAAUUGUCCUUAAUCUUGUGGUCUUAAACAUGCCACGUGGAAAGCAAAAAGUAAAAUGUUACCAAAAAAGUAAAGAGGUCAUUUUUUUGAAACUGACUAAAAAGGAAAGGAGGUCAUUCUUUGUAAAACGGAGGGAGUAUAUAAGUACUACAUAUCAAAAAAAUUUAUUAUGGAUGAGGCACAAUUAGUACUAGUUGUAUGAGGAUAUUGUUUAUUGAUUUAUAUUCUGACUUAUGGGACUCACAUUAUAUUUUUCUUCUUUGCCUUUUAUUUCUCUUUCCUCUCUUUUCUCAUUUUUAUGUUUUUUCUAAAUCUUUUUUAAACCAAUAUAAUUACUCCCUUAGUUUGUAUAUAUGAAAAUAAUUUAUUUUUAAAAAAAUCUUAUUUUUAUUUAAAUAAUUAAAGGUUAAGAGUAUAAAAAAGUUCAAGUUAAUUCUUUGAAUUGUCACUUAUGUCAUGAAAAUUGACCAUUAAAAUUAUUAUUUUUUCUCUCACUUUUCAUUUAUCAUACUUUAAAAAAUUUAUCUUAAUAGUAUUUCAUAUUUUUUUAACUUCUACUUUUAGGACUCAUUCAAACAUAAGAAUUAUUUCUUAAAAAAUAAUAUUUUUUCACUUAAUUUGAAAAUUGAUGUUUGAUAAUGAAAUUUUGAAUACAACUUUUUCAACUCGAAUAUAUAUUUCAAAUUUGAAAAACAUGUUAGUAUAAUCUAAUUUUUCAACUCACUUUUCAUUUUUAAAAUUGUAUUUAAGUACAUUCAAACAUGAAUAUCAUUUCGGAUAUUUUAUUUUGCAAAAAUAAAACAUGACUCUAUGUUCAACUAUAAUUUCGUUUAUUUCAAAUACAGUAAAAAAUAUAUGUUUGAAUUCUAGAGCCAAAUGCCAAAUAAUAAUAAUCAUGUUUUCUAUGCUCAUAACCCCUUAAUUUUUAAUGUGCAAUUUUAAUAACAAUUGUUUCACUAUUUUUUUUAUAAGUUUUAUAUAGAGCUUUAAUUGUAUUUGUGUUAAAGAUUCAUUUUACUAAACUAGUCUUAUUAAUUAUAUUUUAAAUUUGACUAUUGAUACCUAUGUAGUUAUUUGAUGAUAAAUAUGAUAAUUUUUAAAAAUGUUUUUUGUUAAAAUAAAUAAGUAAAAAAUAAAUUAUUUUUUCAUAUACACCAGUAAUUAAAUUAAUUUCAAAAUAGAUUUAGGAAAAAAACCGAAAAUAAGAAAAGGAAAGAGUAGGGCAUGAAAGAGAAAUCAAAGGCAAAGAAGAAAAAUAGAACACGAAUUCCUAGGUUAGAAUAUAAACUAAUAAAAUAAUAUCCUCAUACAAGUUUUACUAGUUGCACCUCAUACAUUUUAAAAAAUAUCCUACAUAUCAUAUUUAAGCUUUAAAAUUGAUGUGAUGGAGAUAAAUGAUUGAUUAGUUCCCUUUGAUUCAUCAUUUGAAGUGAUACCUUCCAUUUAUUGGGAUGAAGAAAUGCAUUAGUGUGUUUAUUACCCCUUCCAUGGCCACAUAUUUUUUUUUUUUGUCUAUCUUGAAGGUUCAACACUUCAAUUGAACUUGUUUUCGGAACAAAAUGGGACAUCAACUAAUUCACCUUUUAAAAAUUAGAUAAAUUUGCAACAUUUUUAUUUCUUAGGAAAAUGUCAAGUACUUACUAAUCAUAUAAUUAUCGUCAAAUUCGUGUAAGGUAAGAAGUAAGAACAUACUUCUUCUAUUUCAAAAUACGUGAUUUUUUAUUAUUAUUUCUUAAUUUCAAAAUUAGUGUUAUUUCAUGUAAUCAAAAAGAUAUUAUUAAUAUUCUUUCGAUUUUUUCCUUAUUUAAAUAAAAAGGUUUUACAUAAACAAAAGUUAUUAAAGAGCUACAUUUUAAAAAAAUAUUUAUUAAGAAUAAAUUAGUAAAAACAUAUUUUACUUUCUAAAAAAUUAAUAGUUUUUUUAAAGAAAUGUGUGUACGCUCUAAACACACUAUUUAUUUUUUUAAAAUGGAAAAUAGUAUUUGGUAGAAUCCGAUAAGAGAAACAUAGUUUUUCAAAAAAAAAAGGGGAAACAUAGUUUUGAAGUUGACAUUUAACGCAACGUAGAAAUGAAUAAUUCACAAAGACUAUACCAUUUUAAAAAUCUUGCUUUCAUUUAAGUUCUAAUUCAUAAAACACCUAAACAAAAUUUGGAAACGAGGUAGUGCUCCCUCCUUUCCUUUUUAGUUGUCAUGUUACGUUGUUUGAGAGCCAAUUUAAUUCAUUUUUAAAACUAAAAUCAGAUUACAUUAAUUCGAUAUUUUAAAAUAAAAUUUUAGAUAUUCAAAAAUUAUACAAAAAUACUACUUAAUUACAACAUUUUUCAUAUCAAUAUGAUGAAAAAAUAUUUUUUAAAAUAUUAGUCAAAAUUCAUAUUGUUCGACUUUCAAAAAUGAAAGCUACUAUAACUAAAAAGGGACGCAGGGAGUAUUAAUUUUCUUUUUAUCCCUCCUAAGAAAAGAAUGGGGUGAAAACAUAAAAAUGCUGAAAUAGAGACCCUAUUUUUCUAAAAUUAGGGAAAUAUGCGAUGUUUCGAGAAGGUAGAAGAAAGCUGAGGAGAUUGAUCGAGAAAACCGUAGCAAUCACCAUUUGAGAGUUUUAUCUAAAACUUUCACGAUUCCUCCACACUCUUCUCACUUCUCUCUAUAAAUACCUCCUUCUAUUGCACUACUGAAGCAACGAAAAUCAUUCACAAAGAAGAAGAUAUCCACUUCCUGUGAUCGAGCUUUUCUUUCUAGUUUGUUUUAUUUUUCUAAUAAAUAGGAGUAAUAAUGGCUUGCACAAUUCUUGCAUCUUCUCCAUUAGCGUCCAAUGUCAGUGUUGGUGGAACCUCUAGGAUUAACAAAAAUGUAGCUGCACCUUGCUCUGUUUUCAUUCCUUCCAUGCGAAGGCGGACGACUAGGCUGGUAGCUCAGGCCACCGGAGAUAACAAAGAUACAUCAGUCGAUGUACACCACAGCAGCGCUCAAGGAGGAAACAACCAAGGCACUGCUGUCGAACGCCGUCCUACAAGGAUGGCUUUUGAUGUUUCCCCUUUUGGUGAGUCUCAUUGCUCCUUCCAUUUCAUUUCUGCUGCUUUCUUCAUUUAUCUCAAUUUAUAUGACACAAUUCAAAUUUCAAACUAAAUAAAUAGGCCAUCCAAGGCUACUAUACUGGUAGUAGCAGCAUUUAAUUAAUUUGUUCAAUUCGUUUAGUAAUGACAAUUGUUUCAUGUGACAAACAGGAGUGUUAGAUCCAAUGUCGCCGAUGAGAACAAUGAGGCAGAUGAUAGACACUAUGGACAGAUUAUUCGAGGAUACAAUGACAUUUCCAGGAAGAAACAGAGCAUCAGGAGCAGGGGAAAUACGCACUCCUUGGGACAUUCAUGAUGAUGAAAACGAAAUCAAGAUGCGUUUCGACAUGCCGGGGCUGUCCAAGGAAGAUGUAAAAGUAUCGGUAGAAAAUGACGUGCUUGUUAUUAAAGGCGAACACAAAAAGGAAGAAGGCGGAAAAGAUGAACACUCAUGGGGUAGGAAUUAUAGCUCUUAUGACACUCGUUUAAGUCUCCCGGAUAAUGUUGAGAAGGAUAAAAUCAAAGCGGAAUUGAAGAAUGGAGUUCUUUUCAUCUCGAUUCCUAAAACUAAAGUUGAGAAGGUGGUUGAUGUCCAAAUCAACUAAAAUUAACAACUCCCAAGCUUUUCUUGUUUUAGGUUCUUUUGUAACCUUGUGUAAAAUGUAUGUUGGAAUAUAAAUAUUAAAACAAGUAGUGCGUCUUUAACAAGGCUGCUGUGAGACUUGUUUUCUGGCAAAUUACAAUUUACAACCAUCAAGACAUAAAAAUAAUGACAACACAUUUGGGCAAGUAAGAAAUUAAUACGCUGAAUAAUCAUCCUGCUAUAUAGAACAAAGAAACUUGCUCAGAAAUCACCGUUAGCAGUAUUAGUACUCGAGGCAUUCAUUGCCUAUAGAGACAUAAUAGCUAGCAUACCAAACUUAAAUUACAUCAACAUAAGCACUCACAAACCAGCCAACAGUACAAGCUUAACAACGAGUAUCCAGAAGGUGAGAGAUGCCCAGCUGAGUAACGCUAAUAAACCAAAAGACAAACGCCAUGAGGUACUCGAUGGUAUCUGUAUCUACGUAUAUAUUUAAAUAUAAGAUCAGAUGGUGAAUGCAAAGUGAUAUAUUACUGCACCACCGAGCGGGGAGUACGUGGUCGGACAGGAGUCUUUGAUGGGCUUACUCUGCAGAAUGGAAGAAGUUUCAAGAUUAAUGGAAAUGUCAGUAAAUUAGAGUUCAAGUAUCAGCAGGAAGUCUACUGGAAUCAGAGAGCAACCUUAUAGGGAGUGAUCCCAGGAUUGCACCACUGCAGUUCAGUGCAGCAAUGGCACUCUCGGCCUGCAACAAUCGGAAAAUUCAUCAUGAAACUAUACUAAAGAGCAUAGCCGUGAAAUGCUUCACUUUAAGGAAAAGGGAACAAACAUAAUAAGCGAUUCUAGGUAUCAAUUAUUGACAUCAUAACAUGCAAGACCAAUGCAAACUAAUCUUGAGUAAGAAGCAGAGUGAGAUAAAUUCACAUCAUGUAUGUUCCCUCGAUGUAAGCAAGGGCCUAGAAAUAGAUCUUCCAAAGACAACAAAGAAUAAGCAAGAAUGAGGUCUUUAACACCAACAAAGUUUGUCAUUGUCACAUCAAGAAGUAACCUAGAAACAAAUUGCACCUAAGCUAAUCACAAGAAGAAGGCGGUGGGAUUCUCCUAUCCAAAGAUAGGAAGUGUGACACUAGAGAAAUCUCCUACUCCCUCUGUUCAAACUUAUGUGCCAUAGUUGAAUCGACACGAUUUAAGAAACAAAUGAACUUUUGAAACUUGUGGCCUUAAAUAUGUUAUAGCCUUUGUGUGGCUGUAAAACUUUGAUACUUGGGGAUUUAUACAUGCCGUAACAUUUGUAGUAAUCAAAGCUUCUCAUUAAGUGUAAAAUAGAAAGUGUGAACUUAAUAAUUUCGAAAUUUAGGAGUGUCAUCAUUUUGAAACUAACUAAAAAGGAAAGUGUGUCGCAUCACUGGAAUGAGAGGGGGGGCGUAUUUGACUUUUACACCCGCAACCUAGAGAGUGUGGUAAAGAAGUUCAAAUCGAGAACCUCCACCAAAGAAACUAAUAGAACCUCUUUUAUAGUUCCCUAUAUCCACUCUCAACGAAUGCCGCGGAUGAAGAAACAGCAUGCUAGAUGAAAACAACUGAGGAACAGAAAAAUCAUCAGAUAUGUCUAUUGAAGAUCUUUGUUAUGGAAAGCAGACUUCACGACUUCUCAGGUUCUAAAAUAAUACUCCAUCCCAGUUCCAAUUUAUAUGGCACCUUUCGGAUUUCGAAAGUCAAUUGAGUUUUUCUUUGAUCAGGAAUAUUUUCAUAUGCAUUGCAAAUAUUUUGAAUUAUCUAUUUCGUUUAAAGAUUAUUUUAAAGAUUUCAUGUCCGAAUUCAGGGUCAAAAUUUGGAAGUCUGACUCUCGAAAUCCAAAUGGUGCCUCAUAAUUUCAGACAGAGGGAGUAAUACUUCUCUCCAGUGUGAAGAUUGCUUGGAUUAGUAAAGCUGAUCUACUUAAUACAAUAGUAUCUCACAGAGGAGUACCAAGUAUACAGCACUUCCCUUUCAACUUCAUUAAAGUGAUCAAUACAUACAGAAUCCACAUAGUAAAGGUUGCAAUGAUUCCCAUAAAAGCAACAGUUUUAAAUGUGCAUUAUAUCCAUGAUCCCCAAGCAAAGCAACAGCUCAGAAGCUCGUCAUUGAGAGAUGCAAAACUUCUCAAGAUGGACAGCAACAAGAACACCGACAUUGCAAUUUUAUUUACCCCGCAUUACUGUGAAUUCUUAAUAAGAUAUCCACUGGCAUGUACUCAUUAGCUACCAAAUAUAACACAAGCCUAUUGAACUAAUCAAAACAACAAUACAGGCCACUUAUUUUUCCUGUUGUCAAGGAAACAUUAUAUAAGUGAUUAAUAUUGCUUAGUAUCGUUGAAUUUCUUCUAUAAGUAGUCCAGUUUCAAUUUUUAGAACAAGUAUCCAGUUUAUCCAAAUUUGGUUAUUCUGAAACCUUUUAUAUGUUUCCCGUCUAACAAAAACAUAGAAAGACAAAAAGACCCCAUACUGAUCCUUGUUAAGGAAAUAAGAGUGCUUUGCUCACAGAUUAGUUGUGCAGAAUUAAUCUAGGGUGAAUAUGGGGUCUUCUUGUCUGCGAGUGUUCUUUGUCCCAGCAAAGACUAAAAACACAGAUGGGAAGAAAUCACCUAGUUUCUUUUGUCACUGCUGGGAUAUGAACCUUUGAGACCUCAUAGUUCUAAGCCGACUUCCUUGACCACCAGGCCACAUCCAUCCAUGGGUGCUAUACUUUGUAACUAGUAUUUAUGCGGAUUUUUAUAUUGGGACUGGUUUUUGUGCGACUGACAUGAGGAACCCUCUCCUUCCAGCAAUAACUCAAUCUACACAACUAAAUACCUCGAACAUUAAUACUCCCUAUAUCCCAAUUUAUAUGACUUACUUUCCUUUUUAGUCCGUCCCAAAAAGAAUGACACAUUUCUAUAUUAAGUAACAAUUUAACUUUAAAAUGUCCAUUUUACUCUUAAUGAAAUGAUUUAUAGCCACACAAAUUUAUAUCAUUCAUUUUAGACCACAAGUUUUAAAAGUCUUACUUUCUUUCUUAAACUUCGUGCCGAGUCAAAGUACCUCACAUAAAAUGGGACGGAGGGAGUAAUAUGUUUUGUGCAUGAGGGGAGGAGGGAUGGGUGUAAUUCUCAAAUAAUGCUAAGUAUAGGAUAAGGCCCAUACAACGGCCAAGACCCCAAUCCUAGGUAUCAUCCAACAAGUUUGAGGGGUGGGGGGGGUUAAUUAUCCAAUCAUGGUUAUUGUAGUAUCUAAAAUCCAAAAAUCUUAGUUCAGAUAACUAGAGUCUGUCCAAGUUUGCCUUCUAAAACAAUUAAACGAAGCAACUGUAGCGCUUUGUAUUUUGUUCUGCCCAGCAGUUACCAGAAAAUAGCACAAGAGAGAAUAGAAAAUGAUGUUAUCGACUCACUUUCCUUUUUAGUCAGUCCCAAAAAGAAUGACACAUUUCUAUAUUAAGUAACAAUUUAACUUUAAAAUGUCCAUUUUACUCUUAAUGAAAUGAUUUAUAGCCACACAAAUUUAUAUCAUUCAUUUUAGACCACAAGUUUUAAAAGUCUUACUUUCUUUCUUAAACUUCGUGCCGAGUCAAAGUACCUCACAUAAAAUGGGACGGAGGGAGUAUUGAACAACAAGUGGGUACCAUAUCUUAUAGUUGUCGUCCACUCUACUACUCUAACAAUGAAGCAUCCAAUAACAAGCACAAACAUUAGCUAUACUGAGUAAUAAACACAAGCACAUAAUAUCGACAACUAGAACUGAUCUACAAAUGACGGACCUUUCUCACAAGUAAGGUUUAUUACCCGACAAAAAGUAAUGAUCACAUGGCUCGUGUUAUCUAGUUAAAAAGAUUUGGAUUAGUUUCUGGUCACAAAGACAUCAACAUAAGCUUAGACAGGCACACCAGUAAACAAGGGAGAAAAACUUUGAACCGAAAUUCAGUGUAUGUCAACAAUAUCUCAAAUUCACAUGAGUGGCAAACUAUUACCAAGAACUUGCUUCACCUACAUAAAAUACAAAAAAGGGACAAAACAAAUCACUUUAUACUUUGAAAAUGUAGAAGACCCAAACAAGUAAUAACAUCAUAAUGAUGUUAAACUAAUAGCAUGGAUGGUAAAAUAACACACACUCUGAAUGGAGUUUCUAGUAGUUCUUAAGAGUAGAAAGAAGCCAAAGUCCAGAGCAGUAUGAUAUAUCAGACAACAAAACCAAGAAAAGCUUAUGGAAGUUACCAUAACAAACUCGACAAAACCUAUGCGAGUAGAAUGAUGAUAGUCACCAAGCAACCUCAAGCGCUUAACCUGGAUUAAAGAAGAAAACCGCAUAGAGUAAGGACCUAAAGUAGGACAGGAACUUUCAGACAAGUCAGGUGAAAAGCUACAAACCUCUCCACAGAAGUACUCAAAAAAGAGCUUGACAUCUGCCUGAGUAACCUAUGUCAUACAAUUGAACAAGUCAUAAAGCAUUAUCUCCAUAGAUACUCUUCAACCAAGUAAAACAGGAAUUACAAACCCAAAAUUACCUUUUUAUCAAUGUUUGUACAGUAUAUAGUUCUUGCACACAUCUCCCUUUCAUCUUCAGACUACAUAUCAGUGCCAAAGGUAAAGAUUUCAGAAUUAGCAACAGAGAGGUAUCCAUUCAUCACCCUCAACAGCGAUUUCUGAAAGGAAGUACGGAAAGUAUACACAAUUUCUCACCCUUGGAAGAAAAGUUGGAUUAACUGGUGCAAUUGCAGUUUUGGAGGGAAGCACUUUCACAGGGUAGUAUCCUAGCAUAGUUCCUGCAAGACUCAGAGAACUCCUUGCACCUUCUGCAAACCAUACAUGGGACAAUGUCAGUGUUAGACAACAACAACUUUAACCCAAAAUAAAAAUUGUCAAACAAAAGAUUGUGGUUCAACUUACCUUCAUCAGUAAACUCAAUAAAUGCAAAACGGAGUACAGAAUUGGGAUCUCCACAUAUGCGACAGUCAACCACCUUCAUCACAUUAAGGUUAGUCCGAUUAUGGCAACAAAACAUUUCACGAACAUAUUAUAAAGUGCUAUAAAUUAUGGUUGAAUGCAGAGAAAUGACCGAACGGGAAACAUUUUCACCUGCCCACAGGUAAGAAAGAGUGUAGCAAGUUGCUCUUCAGUCACCUACACAAAAUAAGAACAAUAAGUCCCACGGUAAAAAGAUGAAGGUGACAUAACCCAAUAAAUAAUGAACAAGUACCCGGUGACUGAGUAACCUCUUUUCAGUACCUGAUGAUCAAUGUCAGACACAUAAACUGUCCUCCUAAUAACCUCUUCACGUUGGGCCAUGCUUGUCCGGACAUUCAUCCUUCUCCUACCAAGACCAUAGCCAUUUCUCUUCUGCCAGUGCAUUCAACCGAAUUGUUAGCCACGACUCCAUGACAAUGAUUCAUUACAAACCAGGUUACAAAAAGUGUCGGACAAAAAAUAAACUUGACCUUUUAAAACAACAGCGACAGAAAGAAACAUUGAACAUCCUCCUUUUUUUUAAAAUGAAUUAAGUAGUAUUUUAAAUGGCAUCAAGAAGAUGCAUAUGGCAAAAUAGUUACUAAAGAGUGAAAAUGUUAGCUCUGUUACAAUAUAUGUUCUUGCAUAAUACCAACUAUGAAAUUUCCUACUGUCGGUAAUCAAUUAGAUUUAACAUACAUAAGGCAACCAAAAGAAGAACAAACAUAAAACUGGAGAACCUAACAUUUACAUAAGCACCGUUUUCCAGUAGCCACUAAAUGAAAAACAUGACAAAUUAGGAAACAGAAAAGUGCUGAGAUAGAUACCCUUCUGUUGAAAGUUCCAUCGCCGAGUCCAGUUUGCAUUGCAUAAUUGAAAGGAUCAAACCCAAAUUGUUCUCCACCGGGAGAGAUUGGCACAACUGCGUAGUUGCUGGAGAGUGAGGGAGGCACAAACUCUUCAGCCAUGGGGUUCAAUUUGGAAAGCAUUUCCUCCAAAUCCUUCAUCUCUCUGUUAAACCCUUCCCCACCAUGAACCUCAUCACCCACACCUCCAUUUCUUCUCAAAUCAACACCGUUCAUUUUCUGAUGCUGAUGUUGAAAAUUAUGGUGACCCAUCACUCCAUUACCGUUGAUGCUUUGUUUCUGCUGUUGAAAAACACUCAUUUGCGCCUUAUGCUGCACACUUGUUUUCUGGGGUUGCUGCUGUUGUAGAUGAUUAACAGACAUCAUCAUCUGAAUAUUCUGAUCAUUAGGUAUCGUUGACCGUGUCUCACCGUUCUGAUUUGACUGAUGAUCGACGGCACCGGAAUCAUUCUUUACAACACUAUCAUCCGUCCGAUUCAACGAACCAUUCUCAUCCACGGCCAUGAUUGUUCCUUCAGCAACAACUAUGUAUCACAGUACCCAAGACUGCUCCUCUUUCUCCUUCUUUAACCCUUUUUCCCAAAUUCGGGUUCUGUCAAAAAGCAAACCAAACCAAACAAAAAAAAGAUCGGUUCUGUCAUUUCCCAAUUUAUCAAUCUGUGGUUUUAACAUCACAGUUUCCACAAUAAGCCAAUAAAAAUUUUCACAAAAAAAAAAGAAAAGGAAAUCGAUAAUUGUACCUGCUGGUCUAAGCGGUGGACUCCAUUAAUCAAAGAAGAACAAAAAAAUUAUUUUACUUUGUAGUGAUGACGCGAGAGAGAGACGAAGAAUUUAAGCUCAUAGAGAAAACAGACGAGCUUCUUCGGAUGGUCCGUUUCGCCACGCCUAUGUUUUUUUUUUUUGUUUUUUUGGACUUUAUUACAGUAGAUAAGGACAAACAUAAUACUUCAUCUUUUUUAUCUUUAACGUGAUAAUAAUCUUAAUUAAUGUUAUAAUUCCUAAAAAUAUUUUAGAUCUUGUGUUUUAAUGACGUUAUCUUUUCGUUCAUUUUUAGUUGUCAUAGUUUUCCUUUUUUUAAAAUCAAUCGAUAUAAAUUUAACUAAUAUUAUAAGAUGUUUUUUUUCAUUAUAUUGAUACAAAAAAAAGUUGCAAUUUAUAGUAUGUUUCAUAUAGUUUUUGAAAAUCUAAAUUUUAUUUUAAAAUAUCAAAUUAAUAUAAUUUAAUUUAGUUUUAAAAUGAAGUCAAAUUAAAUCUCGAAAAACGUAACAUGACAACUAAAAAGAAACGAAAUGAGUAUAUAAAAUGUUGAACACAUGAAUUGAAAUAGGUAAAGUGUGAAAGAACCUUACCUAGUUUACAAAGUUCAUAAAUCAUAGGGCAAAUGAUCUGAAAAAUACUCCAAUUUUGGCUGAAUUUGCUGUUACGACAUCAAACUUUAUGGAAGACUUUUUACCCCUGCACUAUUUAAUAGUGUAUUUAAAAGAUAUAUAUGUGCCCACGUAGACACAUUACUAUUUAUAAUAAUGCAAUAUUUAUGAUGUCCACGUGGGCAUAUAUAUACUUUUAAAAUACACUAUUAAAUAGUGCAGGGAGGUAAAAUGUCUUUUCCAAAGUUCGGUAUUGUUACAACAAUUUCGGUCAAAGUUUAAAUAUAUUUCAGACUUUUUUCCCUAUAUCAUACUCCUAUUACUCCAUCCAUCUCAAUUUUUGUCAUUAUUGACUUAACAAAAAAAAUUAAAAGAAAUACUUUUAAAAUUAAUGAUCUAAGAAAUAUUUUAGAUAUUUUUAUAACUACAAAUCAUAGUUAGGAUUAAAAGAUGAAUUUUAAAAUUAAAUUAUUUUUAUUUAAGGAAAGGUGACAUCUAAGUAAUUAGAUCUUUUUUCAUGGCUUACACAUGAUAUAUCACUUGUCAUCAUCAUUUUAAAGUCGUAUUACACUUCAAUGAUAAAAUAUGUAUAUGUAAUUUGCAAGGUUUUUCCAAUUUCCAUACGUACAUAAACGAGGUAUCAUACAUUUAGCAUUAAUUUAUUCUUACGCAACAAUGUGAGUUUUCCAUUUACAUCUAAAAACCAAUUGGACAAUUUUUUUUAAAAUAUCGAUAAUUUAGUACAGAUUUACUACUACAAUUUUUUCAUGAUACAUGUCACAAUUGCUAAAAUAAUUUGAACUAGAGAGAGAAUAUUUUUCACAUUAAUCCCCUUAAACUUUAGAGAUUGAGAUAUAUAUAACUUUUUGGGGGAUAAGUUUUCCUUUUAACUAUUUGCACAGUUUAGGAAAAUUUACUAUUCUAAUAUAAUAGUUUUUUGAAAACAUAUUGCCUACUAGUUUUAUAGUUUUUAUAAAUUGAGUUUCAGAAAUUUUGGCAUUUCCAUAUAAAUGUAUGUGCAUUUGCAUAUUUAACUACUAUAUACAAAAACCCGGCCAAGCCAGGUUCAAUACAUAUAUUACUUUAUUUGUUUAAAUUUAUGUGACACAUAUAGAAUUAAGAAAAUCAACUAAAGUUUUAAAUAUUUUUAGUUGUUAAUUAUUGCUAUAGUAUUUUUAACGCACUUUUCAAAAAAAAUAAUCUAUGGCACAUGUGAUAAUUUAAGGGUUGAUCAAUUUAUAAUAUGUUUGUUUAAAUAUUUUAAGUUGUUAAUUAUUGUGAUAUAUGUGGCACAUUUAAAAGUUUGGGAGUUAAGUUGUUAAUUAUUGUGAUUUAUGGUACUCUUAGUUAACAUAAUUUUCAAAUAAUAUAUGUUACCCUCCAUGUCUCAAUUUAUGUGGUAUAAGUGAAAUUUCGAAAGUUAAUCAAAUUUUUAAUAUAUUUUAAGUUGUUAAUUAUUGUGAUCUAUAGUAUUUUAAAGCUAAUUUUCAAAUAAUGUAUGCUACUCCCUGUCCCUAUUUUACUAUAUAAUAUAGGCAUAGGUGAAAUUUUGAGAGUUAAUCAAAUUAUUUAUACGUGUUUUUAAAUAUUUCAAGUUGUUGAUUGUUGUAAUUUAUAAUAUUACUUUUUUCAUAAUUUUCAAAUACAUGAUAUACUAAAAUGAAAAAUAAACGAAGAAAUACUAAAUAUUAUAAUAUAUAGUACUAUUUUUUCGUAAUUUUUAACACAUAAUAUAUUAAAAGAAUUAUUUUUAAAAAAAAAAUGCUAAAUACAAAAUAUAAGGAAAUUUAAGGAGAAAGGCAAAUCGGUCAAAUGAUCGCUCUUCAACAUUCCCUCUUCUAAUAUAAGUAAAUAAAAGUUCCUCUCUUUGUAAUUCCAAAACUUGAUCCUACUAAGAUAAGUAAUAGAAGUUAUUCUCUUAGUAAAUUUUGAAACUUGAUCCUAAGCUCCUCUCCUAUUCACUCAGAAAUUUUGGCAAUCCCAUAUAAAUGUUUGUGUUUGCAUAUUUAACUACGCUCUAGACUAUGCAUUAUCUCUGUAGUUGUUAUACAUGUUUACUAAAGUGAGUAUUUUCGAUACAAAUUUUGUCACUACUUUAUUAGGGAUGACCGAUGAUACGAAGUAUGCACUAAUACUAUGAGCUGCUUGGACUAGUAAUGUUGAUUUUCGCAAUGAAUGGAGCAGUACAAAAUGCAGCAGACUUAGAAUUUAUGAAUUAUGAUGACAAAUUCUGCAAAUAUGGAAGUGAACUGAAGGGACCAAAAGAAGAAAGUAGGUCCGGAAUCAGACGUUAACUAAAGGAAUUUACGUCUUCUUUUUCUUUUUUACAAUAUAUUUUAGACUACGGUAUAGCCUUCUUAUUUAACAAAGCUAGUCUUUUCUUACUUCUCUUGAAAGGCCACAUUCAGGCCAACAAACAAGUUAAUACGCUGAAUAAUCAUCCUGUUAUGUGGAACGACGAGGAGGAGAUGAAUCGUGUAAACUCAGACACCACCAUAAACGCCAUUUUUAAAGUACAGCUUGCUCAGAGAAGAAAGGAAGAGCAAAACACGAGAACACAAACCAAUGUGAUAGCCGAAUAUCAAGGAACUCAUUGGAUCAAUGUCACAGUUAGAACAUCAGUCAGUAAUGGUACUCGAGGCAUUGCCUAGAGGAUCAUAAAUAUACCAAACUUAAACUACAUCAACAUACGAAUUCAUAAACCAGACAGCCAACAGUGCAAGCUUAAGAACAAGGUCAGAGAUGCCCGGCUGAGUAAUGCAAAUAAACUAAAAGACAAAUGCCACGAGGUAUCUGUAUCUACGUAUGUAUUUAUAUAUAAUAAGAUCAGAGGAGGAGCGCAAAGUGAUAUAUCACUGCACAGGGGAGCGAGGAGGAGCACGUGGUCGAACAGGAGUCUUUGAUGGGCUUACUCUGCAGUAUGGAAAUAGUUAAAGAUUAAAGGAAUGUCCGUAAAAUAGAAGAAGCAUCAGCAUGAAGUCUACUGGAAUCAGAGAGAAACCUUAUAGGAAGAGAUCCCAGGAUUGCACCACUGCAGUUCAGUGCAGCAAUGGCACUCUCAGCCUGCAACAAUCAGAAAAUUCAUCAUGAAACUAUACUAAACAAGCAAUAGCCUUCAAUGCCACGUGCUAAAUUUCCUUUGAGGGAAAGGUAAACAAACAAAAUAAGCAGUACAAUGGAGGAAUUUAAACUUUUAUACUUCAAAUUUCAUCAAGUAUAUGACAUUACAUCAUGAGGAGUCCACAGAUUUUUGGUAACGAUCCAAUGACAUCAUAACAUGGAAAACUAAUGCAAACUAAUCUCGAGUAAAAAGCAAAGUGAGAUAAAUUGACCAUGUAUGUCCCAUUAAAGCAAGGCAACAGAGCCUAGAAAUAAGUCCUCCAAAGACGACAAAGAAUAGGUCAAGACAAAGAUUAAGUAUAACAUCGACAAAGUUUGUCAUUGCCACGGCCAAAAUUGUCCACCUUGAAACAAAUUGCACUUACAGCUAAUCCAAGGAGGAGGCAAACAGAAGUGUGUCAUUCUUCUACCCAAAAACAGAAAGUGUGACACUAUAGAAAUCUCCUGUUUGACUUAAAGCACCUCAGAAUAUAAAUUCUGGAGGUGUUAAAGCAACAGAAAACAGCCUUGCAAUGCAUCAAGGAGAACUAGAUGCAGAUUGCAACCGCAACCUAGAGAUAGUGUUGUAAGGAAGUUCAAUUCUAGAACCUCCACACCAAAGAGACUAAUAGAAGCUUUAUAUGGUUCCCUAUAUCCACUCUCAAUGAAUACGGUGGAUGAGGAGAUAGCAUGCAGGUCAAGGGCAACUUUAGAACAGAAAAAUAAUCAUAUAGCUUGAUGCAUGUAUGCUAGAGAUACUUUGUCAUGGGAACCAGAUAUCACGACAUUUCAGGUACUAAAGUAGUAGUACUUUCUCCUGUGUGAAGAGUGUUUGGACAGUAAAGCUGAUCUACUUAAAACAAUAGUAUCUCACAGAGUAGUACCAAGUAUAGAGCACUUCUUUUCCAGUUUCAUUUAAAUGAUCAAGAAGCACAGAAUCCACAUAAUAAAGCUGUAAGGGCACCCAUCAAAGCAACAUCCAGAAACAUAUUUAGUACAUGAAACAGCAACUCAAAAGUUGGUCACUGAGAGAUGCAGAACAGACCGAGCUGGGCAGCCGUAAAAACACCAAGAUUGCUAUUUUAUUUACCCCACAUUACUAUGAAUUGCUAAUAAUCUACUGGCAGAAACUCAUUAGCUGUCAAAUACACCACGUGCCUGUAGAACUAGUCAAAACGACAACACAGGCAACUUCUGUUUUCCUGCUGUCUAGGAACCAUUUCAUAUAUGAUUAAUUUUGCUUAGUGUCGUCGGGUUUCUUCCAUAAGGUAAUUCAUUUUUUUAUUUUUAAAUGAACAUCCAGUUUAUCCAAAUCUAGUGAUUCUGAGACCUUCCAUAUGUAUCCUGGAUAACUAAAACACUGAAAGACAAAAAUAUCCCAUAUUCAUCCUUGUUAAGGAAUUGAGGGUCCUUUGGUCACACAUUAGUUAUGCAAGAAUUAUAAUACAAGGAUUGUUAUGUGGUGGAUAAUAAUGCAAAGAUUGUAUCUCGUCAAUAAAUUAUUAAAUAAUUAUUAUCCAGUUAAUAUUAAUGAAAAAAUUAUUACUGUAUGGUAAGUGAUUAUAAAUAGGAUUUAUCUUACUUAAGGCAUUUUGUAGAUAUUUUUAUAGAGAUAUUGCAAAUAAAUGCAUUUUUGUUCCACAUGUUGAGCAUAUAAUUAAGUAAAAGUGUUCUCUCUAACAACUUAAGCUUUAAGAUGAGAUGGUCACACACUUCAGCAUGGUAUCAAAGCAGGUAGAGGUAGAGGGAUCGAAUCUCGCUACCACUUGUUAUCAAAAAAGAAUUUCCACAUGCUUGGCCAUGAAAAAAGAACCACACUCACACCUGAAGGGGCGUUUUGAGAAUAUAAUUAAGUAAAUAAAAGUGUGCUCUCUCUCUCUAAAUACUUAAGCUUUGAGAUGAGAGAGUCACACACUUCAACACCACAUUAAAUAUCACAUAAAAUAAUAAUAGAUUCCUAUAGAUAGAGGCGGACCCACAUGCACCCGGUAACUUUUAAAAAAAAAUUGUGUAUAUAUGUAUAGAUAGUUAAUAAAACGAUAAUAUAAUUGAUUGUGCACCCUUGUAACAAAAACUUUCUUGGGCGCACUGACCAAAGUCGCCAUUUCAGACCACGAUCACGCGAGUUCGAAUCCCGCGAAGGCUUAUUAUUAUUUUUUUUAUUUUUUUUUACUUUAAAAUCAGUUUUUUCUUUACAAUUAACCUUUUUAAAAAUUGUUUUUUUAUUAAAACUCAUUUUUGCCACCUCAUUGGCCCCGCCCCCUUUCUUAACCACCUUUUUUGGCCAUCUCAUCUGGCCCAUUCCUUUCUUAAUUGAAAUUAAAAGCAAAUAAAAAUCCUAACACAAUUCUAAACAAAAUAUAAGACUUCUUCUUUACAAGCAUAUUUCUUUUGUAAGAAUUUGUUGUUGAUUCUUGUGAUUUGAAAUGGAUAGAUUUUUGACGAAACAUAAUUCUUCUCAAUCAAGUGCUAGUUUUAGAGACAAUUAUAGAUGAGUUUGAUUUGCAAUCACGUAAACCGGAUCCUGGACAAAUAAUAUCUAUUGAUAAAUAUAGCCCUAGAAUACGAAUACGAGAUGAAGUGAGAAGACACUAUAUUCAACAAGGGCCUUGUCAACCGGAUAUUAAUAAUAAUGAAUAUCCUCAAACUAGAUUUGGAACGAAAAUACGUCGAUUUUGUAAGGCAUGGUUUAAGGGCUGAUGGUUUGAGUUAUUUAUUCAAAAUUCUAAAAUAUUCUUGAUAAAAAAGUUGAUUGUUAUUCUUUUAAUUUUUAAAAAUUUUUUAAUUAUACCUUUCAAUAUUGGUUAAAGUGAAAUAAAAUAAUAAAAUUCACUAUUAAAAUUUAUUGGGGCCUCAAAAUUUUGGAGGCCUAAGCAGGGCGCUUUGCUAACCUUACCCUUAACCAUUCCUAGCCUUACCCUUGAGGCCACUCUUAGUAGUGCCCCCUAUCUUCAAAUCCUGGGUUCGCCCCUGCCUAUAGAAGUUAUGUCAGUAGUAGUAAUGCUGAAUUUAAUACCUAAAUCAAUCAAACAUUCAAUCAAUUAUGAUUUUACACUAGAAACCAAAAUUGAAUUAGUUAUGCAAAGAUUACAUUCGUCACACAGAGUUCUAUUUAUUGUUUACUUUAUAUGCACUAGUUAUGUGAAUUUUUGUAUUGGAGUUGUUUAUUAUGAAACUGACCAAGGGACCCCUCUCCUUCCAGCAACUCAAAUUACACAACUAUAUACCUCAAAGAUUUACCGAACAGUUAAGUGGGUACCAUAUCCAAUAUUUGUCAUCCACUCUACUACUCUAACAACGAAGCAUCCAAUAAAAAGCAUGUGCAUUAGCUAUUGAGAAAUUAACACAAGCACAUGAAUCCACAGUUUCCCCGGACCCCACCUUUGGGAUUACACUGGGUAUGUUGUUGUUACAUUUUUUUGAUGAAGAAAAAAAAAUGUAACAACAACAAUGUACAUUGUAUCCACAGUUUGAGCUGAACUGCAGAUGAGGGACCUUUCUCAUACCACAACAUUUCAAUUAUAGUAAAGAUCACAGGUAGACCCAGGAUUUGAGCUAGAGGUGACACCUAUAUCUUUCGGAAAAAAACAUUGAUACUUUUGGUGGUGGGUUGCGGUCCUGGGUCUGGUAAUAUGAGAUAGAGAGAGAGAAGCUGGGUUUUGAAUUGGAGGAAGAGUUUCUUAGUUUCUUAUCUCUAUCAUGGACAGAGAAGUGAGUUGGGACUUUUACAGGUAGGGAUUAACUCAAUAGAAAAGAAAAAGAAAAGUGGAUUUUUUUUUAAAUCUGGAGCAAUGCAAAGGACUACAAGGGGGGGUAAGAUAUACUUAGCUAACAAAAGCAUAGCAGUGGAAUGUAUACAGUCAGCGCAAAUAAUAAAGAUCUGGACCAUGUAAGAUCCCAAAACAGUCUAUGCAUUGGAAGCGUUUAUAGAAAAUAAAGAUACAAUAUAAAGUAGCUUGCUUUACUUGGUUGUAGCUAGAGAAGCUGUCCUUACUCAGAAAAAUCUAAGGAAGAGGAAAACAUAAAUUUGCUCAAGAUGUUGUUGAUUCACCAACGAUCUGUUUUGUGACCAGCUAACUAUGGGAUUUGCUCAUCAAUCUCAGGGGUAUUAGGUGGGAAUGCCAGGAAGAACUUCGGAACUCUUCUCAAGGUGGAAGGGGGGGGACUUACCACAUACAAAGACAGAUGGAAAAUUGGUCGAACAACCAUUUGGUGGACAAUGUGGAAGGAAAGGAAUUCAAGACUCUUCGAAGAUACAAGUAAGUCCUAUACAAAUGAUAAAGAUGAAUCAUUAUCUCCUUUUUAAUUUUUGGUGUAAAUCAGAAUAUUGAUGAUCUUGAUUCAAUUUUAGAAGUUUUAGAUUCCUUGUAAGAAGAACAAGGACUGCAAUUUUAGAUUAUUGAUGCAACACCCAUAUUUUGGUUUUGUGCUGAGGAUUAUACUUGUAAACGGGAAUAUGUUACCUUCUCAAGAAAAAAAUAGAGAAGCUAACGAAAGGGGGGAACUAAAGAAGGAAAAAUCAACAAAAAACAAUAAUAUGGUUUGCUACAAGAAGCCGUACAACACAGCGAAAAAUCGGGUAGGCUACAGUUAGGAUCGAAAUAGGUCACUGAACCUAAGGACAAAGCUAAGGAGCCCCAUCAAUCAGUGACCCCUUCUAGCAUUUUUGUAUUAGGGUGCCUAGUUAAAUAUAUCGACAUACUUCAAGAUAUAUACAGGAUUUUUUCCGAGGUUAACAGGUGCAUGUGACCCCCCUCCCCAUAGGAUAGGUCUGCCUCUGAAGAUUAUUACCAGAGAUAUUAAUGCUCACAUAGAUCAUGUUAUCUAGUUAAGAAUAUUAGAAUUAGUUUCUGGUGACGAAGAUUGAUAACAACAUAAGCUUAUACUGGCACUCCAACAAGCAAGGGGAGAAAAGCUUCGAAUCAAAUUCAGUUUAUGUCGACUUUAUCUCAAAUUCACACAAGUGGACAAACUACUUCCAAGAACUUAGUUCAUCCACAUGAAAGCCAAAACGGGACAAAACUGAUGUUUUUACGUUUUGAUGUUUUUACACUCUGAAUGUAAAAGACUCAAAUAAGUAAUCACAUCAUAAUAAUGCUAAACUACAAACAAGGAUAGUGAAAGACCACACAUUCUGAAUGGAGGUUCUAUUAGUUCAUAAGAGUAGAAAAAAGCAAAUGUCCAGAACAGUAUGAUAUAUCAGACAGCAAAACCAAGAAAAGCUCAUGGAAGUUACCAUAACAAACUCGACAAAACCUAUACGAGUAGUAUGAUGAUAGUCACCAAGUAACCUCAGGCGCUUAACCUGCAUUAGAGAAGAAAACCGCAUAGAGUAAGUACCUUAACUAGGACAAGCACUUGCAGAAGAGUUAGGUGAGAAGCUACAAACCUCUCCACAAAAGUAUUCAAAAAAGAGCUUGACAUCUGCUUGAGUAACCUAUUUCAUACAAAUGAACAAGUCAUAAAGCAAUAUCUCCAUAGAUGCUCUUCAACCAUGCGAAACAAUGAUUACAAACCCAAAAUUACCUUUUUAUCAAUGUUUGUACAGUAUGUAGUUCUUGCACACAUCUCCCUUUCAUCUUCAGACUACAUAUCCACGCCGAAGGUAAAAAAAAUAAAAUCAGUAUUAGCAACAGAGAGGUAUCCAUUCAUCGCCCUUAACAGCAAUUUUGCAAAAAGGAACAACAACAUUCCUAAUAAAAUCCAACAAGUGGGGUUUGAGGAGGGAAGAGUGUACGCAGACCUUACAAAUAGGAAAUACCAAAAAUAUACACAAAUUCUCACCCUUGGAAGAAAUGUUGGAUUAACUGGUGCAAUUGCAGUUUUAGAAGGAAGCACUCUCACAGGGUAAAACCCUAGCAUAGUUCCUGCAAGACUCAGAGAGGUCCUUGCACCUUCUGCAGACGAUACAUGGAACAAUGUCACCGUUAGAUAACAAGAUCUUUAACCAGAAAUGAAAAAUGUCAAACCAAAGAUUAUGGUUCAAUAUACCUUCAUCAGUAAAUUCAAUAAAGGCGAAACGGAGUACAGAAUUGGGGUCUCCACAUAUGCGACAGUCAACCACCUUCAGCACAUGAAGGAUAAAACAGAUUAUGGCAACAUAAUAUUUCAUAAACAUUUUUAAAAUGCUGUAAAUUAUGAUUUAAUGCGGAAGCACGAUCGAACAGGAAACAUAUUCACCUGCCCACAAGUAAGAAAGAGUGUAGCAAGUUGCUCUUCAGUCACCUACACAAAAUAAGAACAAUAAGUCCCCGAAAAAAGAUGAAGGUGAAAUAAUGAAUAAAUAAUGAACAAGUACCCAGUGCCCUGAAUAUUCCUCUUUUUAGUACCUGUUGAUCAAUUUCAGACACAUAAACUGUCCUCCUUAUAACAUCUUCACGUUGGGCCAUGCUUGUCCGGACAUUUGUCCGUCUCCUACCAAGACCAUAGCCAUUUCUCUUCUGCUAUUGCAUUUCAACCAGAAUUGUUAGCCAGGACUCCAUGACAGUGAUCACAAACAAGGUUACAAAAGGUGAGAGACGAUAAAUUUGUCCUUUUUUUAGACAAUAGGGGCAGAAGGAAACAUCAAUAUUCCCUAUUUUAGACCUCAAUAACUGUAUCCUCCUCAAUAUAUGUUCUUGCAUGAUAUAGUACCAAUUAUGAAAUUUCCUACCUUAAGUUAUGGAUUACAUUUAACAUACAUAAGGCAACUGACUGUCUUCCAGUAGCUACUAAAUAAAAAAAUGAUAAAUUAGGAAAGUGAAAAAGUGCUGAGAUAGAUACCCUUCUGUUGAAAUUUCCAUCGCUGAGUCCAGCUUGCAUUACAAAAUUGAAAGCAUCAAACCCAAAUUGUUCUCCACCAGGAGAGAUUGGCACUACUCCGUGGUUGCUAGAGAGUGAAGGAGGCACAAACUCUUCAGCCAUGGGGUUCAAUUUGGAAAGCAUUUCCUCCAAAUCCCUCAUCUCCUUCUUAAACCCUUCCCCAUCUUCAUCCUCAUCAACAACCCCUCCAUUUCUUCUCAAAUCAACACCGUUCAUUUUCUGAUGCUGAGUCUGAAAAUUAUGCUGACUCAUCACUCCAUUGCCGUUGAUGCUUUGUUUCUGCUGUUGAAAAACACCCAUUUGAGGCUUAUGCUGCAAACUCGUUUUCUGGGGUUGAUGAUCAACAGGCAUCAUUUGAAUAUCCUGAUCACUGGGUAUCGUUGACCGUGGCGCACCGUUCUGAUCGACGGCAGCGGAAUCAUUCUUUACAGCACUAUCGUCCGUCCGAUUCAAGGAGCCAUUCUCAUCCACGGCCAUGAUUGUUCCUUCAGCAACAACUAUGUAUCACAGUACCCAAGACUGCUCCUUUUUCUCCUUCUUCCUUAACCCUUUUUCCCAAAUUCGGGUUCUGUGAAAAAGCAAAACAGAAAAAAGAUCAGUCCUGUCAUUCCCAAUAUAUCCACAUUAUGAGCCAAUAGAAUUUUCAGGGCAAAAAAAUUGGAAAUCAAUAAUUGUACCUGAUACUCUAAAUGGUCUCCAUUAAUCAAAAAAACAAAACCCAAACUCAAAGAUCGUGAGCUGGGAGGAAUUAAAGAAGAGCAAAAACAGGGCAAGACUUUUCUUUUUCUUUGGAGUGAUGUAUUAUUUUACUGAGUCUACAGAAAAAGGAUAAUACUAUGACGAGAGAGGGAGAAAAAAAUGAAAAUAGGAGAAAUAGCAGAGGAUCGAGUAUCCACUGUGGAGUAUUCAGUAGGUUGUGUUUGGUUAUGUCCGUGGAAAUAAGUGAAUACUUGUUAUGGCGUUAUGAAUUAUGAUCGUGGUGUUUAGGUUAGCUUUCGUAUAUCUUAAUAAUUUCAUGACAUAUUUGUUUACUAUCACCAACAAUAGGCAUUUGUAACUUUGUCAAUCAAGAUUAUGACAUAUGAAAAGAAUCAUCUAAUCGACCUCAGAUUUCUCAACCAUUUUAUUGACUAGUAGCUCAUACACAUCGAUAUAGUUAUACAUGUAUUAAUAUUAUAAAGAUUAGUUAUUAUGAAAUUUAAUUUUAUGCACAUAUACAUAUAUUAGUUAUUCUAUUUUCUACAUAAACUAUUUUCUAACUUAGAUAUGUAUUAGUUACGCAUAUUUCUAAAUAAACAAUUUUCUAACUUAGAUAUGUAUUAGUUAUGCAUAUUUCUAAAUUGUCAAUCAAAUAUCGUAUUAAUCUAAAUAACUUAUUUCUUAUUUACUUGCCAAAUAUUAUCCUAUUCAACUUACUUGAGACUUUAAGAGGUCUUUUGAUACUUUCUCUGUGCCAAAAUAAAUAUCACAACAACAAAAAAUUAACAUUUGAGUAUUAGAUGAGAAUGAUUCAGUAAACUAUAUAUUAUAUUUAUUAACUUCUUUAAUGGGCAUGAUUUUUGCUAAGUAUGAAAAUGGAGGGAGUAUAAAGAUCAAGUAAUAUGAAGUAAAUGAAGUACUAUAUGAGAUCAAUAUAAUAAUUUUAUGAUAAAAUUUAAAAUUAAUUUUAUUUCAUAUUUAAUUCAAAAUAUUAACUAAUUUAUAAAUAAUUUUAUACUAAAAUAAUGAAACUAAUUACUUCAUAUAAAAAAUGUCCUAUCUUACUUCAUGGAAUAUACCGGAAUAUCCCACUAUUGCACCAAACAACCCCAAAUAUAGAGAACAACACAGAUAAUAAGAAAUACUUAACAAUUUUACCUUUUUAACUAAGGACGUAUAAAAAUAUUUUUUUUGAAUAUUAUAAUUUUAAAUAUACUUAGUGAUAUAUAAAAAAUUAUAAUAAUUAAAAUAUAAAUUUUUAUAUAAAUGUAUAUAUAAAAGUAUUCAGAUUUUACUAAAAUAUCUAUAAAGAUAGAAUAAAACAUAUAAACUGAAUCAUAAUAAAAAUAAUUCAUUUAGAUGUGUUUCGUGGUAGACACAUGACAUAUCAAUUAUCAUCAUCAUGUGAGUUACAAUUCAAUGAUAAAAUAUGCACUAUCAAUUACUUUGCAUGUUUUUUUUCUAUAUAAACCAUAUAUUAAUUUUUCGAUAAUGUAUUUCUAUUAUAUAGAAGGGAGAGUUUUCAAACUUUAUGGCUAUUUUUUGUCAUAUUUAGAAAAGCUCAAGUGCAAUUUGAUCAUUGCCCCUUGCAAUUAAUGUUUAGAAUUACGGUAUUUGCUAUCUUUUACUCCUUAAAACUCUUGUAUGGCAGUACUUUAUAAUUGUACUUUUUCUUCUUUAGACAAAAAGACCAGCCAACAUCUCUAUAAUGACACAUAUAUCCAUUUUUAUUUAAUUUAAGUGGGCCCCACCAACUUUAUCAUCUCGGCUGACCCAUACUAUUUUGUAUUUCUUUAUUUUAAUUAUCAUGUCUCACCUUUUUUAGUUGAUUACAUAUUUAAAAAAUAAAAAUAAAGUGGAUAUUAAAAUAAUUAACAAUUUAGUAUACUUAAAAAUAUUAUUUAUAUAUAUAUAUAUAAAACUACAUAAAAAGUACUAUAUAUCACAAUAAUUAACAAUUAUUUGACACUUUAAAUUCUAUCAAUACUAUUUAAAUUAGGAUAAAAAGAGUAACAUAUAAUAUUUAAAUAUAUUUUAAAAUAAUAUAAGUAAUACUAUAAAUUACGAUAAUUAACAACUUCGAUAUUUAAAAGUUAUAUAAAAAGUUUGAUUGACUCUCUAAUGUUUUGUUGAUUUAGUAAGGUGAUCAACUAAUAUGAGACAACUAUUUUUAGAAUAAUAGUCAAUUAACAUGGGACGAAGGGAGUGUUAUAGAAUUUGAAAAGUUAGCCAAAUGUUUAUAUGAUUUUAAAAUCAUUUCCUCAUUUCAAAAGAAAAAAAAAACUUAUUUUCUAGAGGAAAUAUGUUAUUAAAAUUUUAGCUCGUCAAAUAUAGAAAAUUAACAUUUUACAGAACACACCAAUAGAUUCAUCAAUUUUUUUUCUCUAAUUUCACGUAAAAACAAAUUUAACAAAAAAAAGGAAUAAUACAUAAUAAUAUUUUAUAUGACUCAUUUUCUAUUUUUAGCAAUUGAGAAAAUACAUUAUUAACUAUUUAAUCCUUAGCUAAAUUAUUUAUGGAUUUCUUAAGUCACUAUAGCAGUAAAAAUGAAUUUGAACAAAAUAAUUAUAUACAUUUCAAAUUUUUUUCUCUAAUUUCACUUAAAAACAAAUUUAACAAAAAAAAAAGGAAUAAUACAUAAUAAUAUUUUAUAUGACUCUUUUCUAUUUUUAGCAAUUGAGAAAAAUACAUAAUUAACUAUUUAAUCCUUAGCUAAAUUAUUUAUGGACUUCUUAAGUCACUACAACAGUAAAAAUGAAUUCGAACAAAUAAUUAUAUGCAUUUCAAUUUUUUUUCUCUAAUUUCACGUAAAAACAAAUUUAACAAAAAAAAGAAAAGAAAUAAUACAUAAUAAUAUUUUAUAUGACUCUUUUCUAUUUUUAGCAAUUGAGAAAAAUACAUAAUUAACUAUUUAAUCCUUAGCUAAAUUAUUUAUGGACUUCUUAAGUCACUAUAACAGUAAAAAUGAAUUCGAGCAAAAUAAUUAUAUGCAUUAAUCCUUAUCGAUGUUUAAUAAAUAUAUAUAGAUAGAUACACUAUCUUGUUUAUACAUUGUAGCAUUUCAUCUUCUUUAAAACUGAUUUUUUUUCAAUGAAAGUACAUAAAUAUUAUUCGUACUAUUCAUUAGUUUUCAACUUUCAACAUGGCUGUUUUUUGCCAUAUUUAGGAAACUUUAAGGGCAAUUUGGUCCAACUUUUAAUAGUUUUCUAAUGAAUAAUAUUGUACUUCACUUUUUUGUAGUUGUACUUUUAAAAUUUGGGACAUAAAAGCCCUUCCACAUAUUACUUUUCAGGCGCAAAAAAAAUUGCCUACUUUCCAUGCAUGUGGGCCAUUUUUUAAAAUGCUAAUUACUUUAUUUGUUUACCAAAUAUGAAAAAAUUAUGUCUUUUUUUAGUUUGUUAUAUAUCUAAAAAUUCUAUAAAUAUAAAUAACACUAUAAAUCAUAAUAAUUGACAACUUAAAUACUUAAAAGUUAUAUAGAAAAUUUAAUUGACUCUCGAAAUUCUAUUGGUAUUAAUUUAUAAAUCACAAUAAUUAACAAUUUAAAAAGUAUAAAAUACAUACAAAAAAUCACUUGACUCUAAAAAAAGCUUAUCAGUGCUACAUAAAUUGGGAUAGGAGAAGUAACAUAUAUGAUCUGAAAAUUACGUUAAAUAUUUAAAAGACAUAUAAAAAAUGAUUAAUUUUUGAAAUUCUAUUUAUGCCACGUAAAUUGAAACAAAGAGAGUAAUAUAUAUUAUUUUUAAAAUUAUAUAAAAAGUACUAACAACUUAAAAUCUUUUUUAAAAUCAUAUAAAAAUUUGGCUAACUUUUCAAGUUCUAUGACACUCUCUUCGUAUCAUAUUAAUUGACUAUUAUUCUAAAAAUAAUUAUUUCAUAUUAGUUGAUCAUCUUACUAAAUCAACAAAACAUUAUUUAAAAUUUUCCUAUAUUACCCUUGCCGUUAAUUUCUUUUAAAAGUGUCACAUUUGUUUGUAAAAUUCUCACAAAGUUUUUUAAGGGUUGAAUUAGUAAAAUUAUUUUCUUAUUUAUAAUUUCUUCAGUACCGUGCAAAAUGAAAAGUAAUCAAUUAAUAUGAGACGAAUAGAUAUUGGACCCCGUGCUAGCACGGGGUCGUGUAUCUAGUAUAUAUAUAUAAAACACUAUCUAGUUUUAGAAAAUUACAAUACAAGCACGAAAAAUAAAAAAUAAAAAUGAAGGAAAAUAAUAACUACAUCAAAAAUUCAUUCUUAUGCACAUGAGUUUUUCGUUUACUUUCAAAACCACUUGGAUAUAUUUUCUAAAAUAGCAUAAAGUCACUGUAAUUAUUAAAUUUUUAUUUUUAUAUUUCAAAUCUCGUAGGAAAAUUCUUACAGUUACACCAUAUAUAGCCACAAAAAUUGUCAAUAAGGCCCACGUUUAAUUAUCGAAGAUAAAUGAAAUCAUUUACAUGUGAUUAUAUUAAUUAAAAUAAUACAAACAAUAAACGUGACUCUAUAUACGUUUGCUCUUGCUUUGUGAAUUGGUGUGCCCAUUUGAAGCAACUUGUGAAAUCCUAAACUCCCUUAGUUUAAUAUUAAUAAUUUGUCUACUAUAUUAUUUUAAGGUGUCUAAUAAUAUUUGUCCAUUUUAUGAAAUCAAUGGAUAAUUUUAUACUUUAUUCCUAAUUUAUUCUUAUCGUUAAUUAUAGUAAUUUCUCUAUUUCAUUUUUCAAGACAUUAUAUUUAUUACAUUUAAAGAGCGAUAUAGUAAAAUUACCUUUUUAUUUAAUAUUUAUAAUUUCUUAAGAAUGUACAAAGUCAAUAAGGGACUAGUAUGAUCGAACAAAGGAUAAUAAACGAUCUCUGGCGCAUAAAAUGCACGUUUAAAGUACUAAUGAAAUAUGAUAUUAUUAAUAUAAUAUUUCACUUUCAACCAAAUAGAUGCAUGUUUAAACUGCAAAGCAAGUUACAACCAAUAUUCUUCUAUGAAGUUUAUUUAUAAAAAGAAAAUUUCAUAAAUAACAAAGAGACUAACUUAAUAAGACUUUUUAGCUACAGUUUGUCUAAUUAUAUUUCAUUGAUAUAGUUUUGUUUGUUAAAGGUAUUUCCAUUUGUAUAGUUCGCUUGUCAUUUGUAUAAUCCAAUUGUCAAUAUAUAAAUAGAUUAAGUAUAUACAAUUUUUGUAUUUAUAUGUUUAAGAAUUUGUCAAAACUUAUACAAAUCAAAUGUAUCAACUGGAUAACUAUAUACAAGUUAGGGUAAGCAUAUACAAAUUCUGGAUUUAUACAAUUAGAAAAUUUCUGGAUCUAUACAAUUAGGAAAAUUCUAGAUUUAUACAAUUAGGAUCAAAUUUUACAAAAUUCUGAAUUUAUACAAUUAAGAGUUGAAUUAUACAAAUUCUUAUCUCGUGAUAUCUCUUAGGUGCAUAAUAAAUAAUAAUUGCUAAUACGCUAUAAGUAUUCAAAAAUUAUUUUGUAAGAAAACUUUGUCCAAUACUUUAAUUUUUAAAAUAAUUAAAAAUAACUUGAUAAGGAAAUUAUUAAUUAUAUUAAAUAAUAUAACUACAUAUUGCUUAAAAGAUAGUAAGAAAAUACGGAAAAGGGUCAAAAUUUCCCCUGAACAAUGCGAAAUAGACCACUUAUACCCUUCGUUACAUUUUGGGAUAAAAAAUGCCCCUGCUGUUAUCCUAAGAGACCACACAAAUACCCUCAAGAGUUAACACCCCAAAAAUUUAGUGACAUGGCAAGCCACGUGGGACUAAGUGCCCAUUUAGAUUGACUUAUUUUAGGUGUUUUUAAGCCAAAAUAGCUUUUAAGCAGUUUUGAAGUGUUUGGGUAAAGUUAAAAAGUGCUUAUAAGCACUUAUUUUAAAGUCAAAAUAACAAAAAUAAGCCAAAAGUCAUAAGUUAGAAAUCCUAACUUAUGGCUUUUGGCUUAUAAGUCAUAAGUAAGCCAAAAGCCAAUCCAAACAGGCCCUAAUCCUUCCACCUAAGCGUUGCCAACUAGGGUUCACUACAAAAGAACUAGGCCUUUAGCGGCGACAACAGUCGCCACAAAAUCCCAGAAAGUCGUCACUAAAGGUUUUUUAAUAAGAAAUUCUGAUUUGUGUGUUUUUUCUUCAUUGUUUUUUAAAAAACCAAAAAUGAUAUCGAUUAAGGAGGAGUUUGAAGACACUAUAUGUCUUAUUUUUAUAUCAUAUGUAAAUGUAUAAAGUGUAUGAUGAAGCAUUAUUUAGUAGGAGAUUUGAAUCGAGAAAUAGUUUUGAUGAUUUUCGUAAUAAUAUUGGAUGUUUUUAAUGUUAAUAGUCCAAGUUAUUUAUUUUAGAAUAUUAGGUUGCAACCGAAAAUUAAUAAUCAUAUUAUUUUGUUGAAAAAUAGGUUUUACUAGCGAAUGGUUGUUGCAACCUUAGUCGCCACUAAAAAUCACUCAUAAUCUUUAGUAACAAUAUUUCGGGAUUUUGUGGCGACUAUUGUUGCCGCUAAAGGUCUAGUUCUUUUGUAGUGAAUCCUAGUUGGCAACGCUUAGGUGGAAGGAUUAGUCCCACGUGGCUUGUCAUGUCACUAAAAAUUUGAGGUGUUAACUCUUGAGGGUAUUUGUGGUUUCUUGGGAUAACGGCAGGGGCAUUUUUUAUCCCAAAAUGUAGCGAAAGGUAUAAAUGGUCUAUUUUGCAUAAUUCAGGGACAAUUUUGACCCUUUUUCGAAGAAAAUAUAUACGUGAAAGGUACAUAGCUUAAACAUUUUUUUUUUUGUCAAUUUGUCAUAGCAUUUAGUGCGAGCAAAUUUUGGAAUGACAUUGCAAAUUGCAGCAUGAAUCAUGUGCGUGGCAAUCACGUCACAAAAAAUUUAAAAAAUAAAAAUUGAUAUAUGUGGGACUAAUACUUCCAUCGUUUUCAUUGGUUAGCUUUUCUUUCUUAUUUAACUUCUAGCAAAAUAAUGUCACAUUUAUAUUGAGCCAUUGCAACACUUCAUAUCGAAAAGAUUUAAGAAUAUUUUGAUAUAUUACAAAUACUUUUAAUAUUCAUAGAAAAUUUACUAAAUGUAUUGUUAUUAUUAUUAUUAUUAUUACAUAUCUCUUUAAUAUAAUAUUAUAAAAUUUAAAAACUAAAAGUUAUUACUUUGUGUCAAGCGACAAAUUGAAAUAACGAAAUACUAUUUUGAUUGGACCACGUGUAAUGAGUACCUAUCAACCAAUGGAGAGAGAGACAAGGUCUUCCACAUGUUAGUUGGUUUCAUCCUGCUUCAUACAGUAAAAAUGACAAUGGAGCGAAGCAAAUGCGAGAUAGAGUGAGUUUUAUCUUAUGUUGGGUUGGGUAGAGUAAGUCUAACUUUAUGCCGUGAGUAAGACGGAUUGAAUUUUUUGUUAAAAAAUUUAGUGUGGGUGGGGAUGCAAGGUGUAGGUGGCAAGUUGCAGAAAUUUUCCAAACUCCCUCCCAAAAUAUAUCUCUUGUGCUUUCUUUCAUUAUAGUUUAGUAGAUGUAUAAAAAUCUGAUUUUAUAUCACAUAUAUAACUUCCAUUUUAUAUUAAUCUGAUGUAUAGCUUUAAUUUUUAUAUCAAUCUAAUUUUAUAUUUCAUGUUCAAAUGUGUCCUACAAAGCCGAACAAAAUAUUGAUUUGUGGGCUGGACCAGCUGAGGUCUGGCCCAGAUUUUGUUAUUUGCUUCUUUAGUUUCUCUUUAAUAUAAUAAGUAUAUUUUUGGCCAAGAACUAUUUUGAUAUAUAUGGGAAAAUUUCAUAAAUAGCUACCGUAAAAAAAUAAUAGGCUUUCAUAACUAGAGUUUGCAUAUUUACGCAGUAUAGCUAUAAUUUAAAUAGCUAAAAUGAAUAGUUAUAUAUAUAUUUGACUCAUCAAUGAUUUAUGACAAUAUGUAUAAAUAUAUAUAUAAAUUGGAAGUAUAAGUAAUAUUAAUUUAUUUAUUUUAAUAAUAAAUAUGACUUUUUCCCCAGAAUUCAUUUAUUCACGACUCACGAGAUAAUUAUAAAUAAGUUCAUAUGAAACUAACAAGUUACUAUUAUAAAUUAAAUUAUAUUAAUAUAUUAAAAAUUAUACACUUUUUUGUAUACAUAAAUUAAUUCGAUAUCAAUAACAAUAGAGUUACCUCCGUGCUUGAUUAUAAAUGUUAUUCCCUUUGUCUCAAUUUAUGUGAAAUAUUUCGUUUUUCGAAAGUCAAACAAUUUAAGUUUAACUGAAAAUUUGUUCAUGAAAUCUUUAAAUUUUUAAAAAAUGAAAUUUCUAUAUUAGUAAACUACAUAAAAAGUACUAUAAGUCACAGUAAUUGACAAUUCAAAAUAUCUAAAAGAUAUAUAACAAUUUACGGUCAAAGAUAAACUUGUUUGAAUGUGAAAAUCCGAAAUGUGUCACAAUUAGGAGAGAGGAAAUAAUUGAGUAAAUUCACUUGUUGCAUGCCAAUUGCCAAGCGGUGAAGAUGUUAAUAGUUGUACACAUUACACAAUGGUGCAAUCAUCAAUUUCCGUAAGUAUAUUUUGAGGUGUUUAAGAUUUAAUAUAAUUUCAUUCAACUUAUAUAUAUAUGAUAUAAAUUUUUUUCAUAUAAGGUUAAAUUGAUCAUCAUAUUAUUAAUUAUAAUUCCGCCCCUCCCAUAAUUGUAUGAUAAAUUAAGUAGCCUAUGCUUUUAAAAAGAGCCAAACUAAAGUUGGUGGUUUAGAAAGGCCGUGUUAGGUUAAGUGAGACUUUAUGCAAAGCUUAUAGUUAUAAACUAAUAUGGUUGUUAAUUUUAUUACUAACAUAAUCGAAAAAGGAUGCAAAGAAUCAUAAUAAUGAAUAAUCACAAGAGUCAAGAGUAGUUUUCUCAUCCCAAUUAUUAUUUUGUCUGUAGUUUGGCGUGCACUAAAGCACGAUUAUUGCAUGCACCAAUAUUCUUUAUUAUGAAGGAUCCACCAAACCCUGCAAUAAUUAGUCAUAUAUCCUAACAUUAAUAUUAUCAUAAUUAUACUAAUUAUUCCCUCGGUUUUGUAUUACUUUUAAUGUUUAUUGAUCUGUCACAUCUCUUUAUUUUUUUUAAUUAAAAGUAUAUUUUAUUAAAUUAGUCUUAUUAAUAAUGUGUUGAAACUUUAAUAUUAAGAGCAAUAUCGAAAGAAAAAUAAAUCUUGAUAAGCGAAAAUAAGUAAGUAUUCCCUCAUUACAUCUGACUCGUGUUAACCUGACAUAUUCCUUGAAAAAAAACAAUAAAAUGUACAUUUUACAAAACUAACUUUAUUAAUACUAAUAUUUUGGAACUAUAAAUAUGAUUACUAUUACCUUAUAGGAAAAAAGUAAUAAUUCUCUUAAUUUGCUAAAUUAAAUAAGUAAAAUUAAAAUAUUUAAUUUUGAUAUAGAAGCUAGGAAAAUGGAACAGAGCAAGUAAAAAGGAAAUAUACUAUAUAUUUUUUAUGUUUAGGUACGCCACCAAUCUUAUAAUACUUUCCCCUGUGAUUCUUAUAGAAAUAGGUAAAUCAUUUAUUAUUUUCUUAGGUCAUUUUUAUGUGUUUAAUAUAUUAAAAAUAAUUUUUAUUUUAACAUAUUAAAUAAAAAAAAAAUUGCUUUCCUGUUUCAACCUUAAGGUGAAUUAUCUAUUGAUAUCUAAAUCGUUUCAUAAGUCCUUUAAUUUGUAACUACUCACCAGGAAUAUAUAUGAGCUAAUUAUAUACUUGUUUAUUAUUUUUAAUAAGAGUAUAAAAUCUACUAUGGACAAUUAAAUGUGAGUGAAGAGAGUUAUAUAAAUAAGGGGAAAAUGUCUGAAAUAUAUCUGAAUUUUGAUCGAAAUUGUUGUAACAAUCCAAAAUUUUAGGCAGGACCUAUUACCUCCUGCACUAUUUAAUACUGUAUUUUAAAGAUAUAUAAGUGUCUAGCUGGACAAGUUACUAUUUAUAAUGAUGUAAUAUUUAUGAUUUCACGUGAGCACAUAUAUAUCUUCGAAAUACACUAUUAAAUAGUGCAGGGGUAAUAGGUCUUGCCCAAAGUUUGGGAUUGUUACAGCAAUUUCGGUCAAAGUUCAAAUAUAUCUCGAACCCUUUUUCCUAUAAAUAAUUGCAUCAUCAUUCUAGUGCAAUACUAAAAGAUUAAAAUUUAGUGAUAGAUAAAUUUGUUGAUAAACAACAAAAUGAGUAGUUAAUUUAACCCUAUUUAGUGACAAGUUAUCAAAAAAAAAAAAUCGAUUAGCUAUAUGUAAUUAAGCAGCAGAUUAAAAAUAAAAUUCAUAACUAUUUUUUUUUUUUAAUAAUGGUUUGUACUUUUGUUAAUGUCCACAAUAAUUUAACGAGCCAAAAAUGGCUUUAUUGGGGAUUAUUAGACAGCAACAUGAGAGGGAAAUCAUUAAAAUAUUGCGCCAAACACGGAAGAACACAUGCAUAAAUAUGACGAUACCCUAUAUUUGAUACUUUUGAUUCAAAUAAUUUUAAUAGCUCGUUAAGAAAAACACUCCUUAUUUGAAGUAUACUUUUAAUUUUAAGACUCAAAUAUACACAAUAUCGACAAUUAAGAGUGAAGAGACAUCAAUUUUUUUAUGAUUUUGAGGGGGUCAUUUGAUCGUUAAGAAGAAUAUUCAGAAAGAUAUGUCCAAAUAUAAAAUUCUGAAUAAAAUAAUAGCAAGUCGUAAAAGUAUUAUUUUUAAAGACAAACAUAUUUUUAUUACUUAAUCCAUGUAUUAUAUAAAAUAUAUUUCAUAUAUAUUGUAGUACUCACUGUUUUAUUUUAUUUUAAAGUCAACAUCACCAACAAGAACAAGUAGGAGACAAUUUGUCAACGCAUUUUAUGCCUCCAAUGAUAUAAAACCUUAUUGAUUUUGUAUAGCAAGAUUUUGUGUGAAAGACAACUUUUUAUAUGCAUCUAUGAACACCAUAAAUAAACUCACUUAAAUAUACUUAGAAAAAAAAAUUUAAAAACUUUUUCUUUCUUGUCUCUUUACACUUUUUAUCUAUUUUCUUACUUAUGAAUAUAAUUUAUUAUAAUAUAAAAAAUAAAGGCCCAAGCAAGUAGGAUUGUUUGAUGGACCAGGAUUUACUUGGAAGUUUGUUGGGCUUGUAUUGUUUAUCUGCUUAAAAAAUGGGCCAGUAAUGCUGAUAUAAUAUUUUAAAGGAAAUUCUUUUAUAAAUAUACAAUAGAGUAAUUUAAAUUGCACUAAAUAUAAUCCAAGUUUUUAUUUAUAUAAAAAAUAGCCUAAAAUUAGUGAUACAUACAAUAAAAUUACUUUUGACCACAUGGUUAACGUAUAUGUAGUAUAUUGAUACGAUAUAUAAUGUAUCGAUAUUGUAUAAAUAAUGUAUACUUCGUGUAUAAAUUAUACAUAACUAUAUACCAGAUAUGUAAUACAUCUAUAUACAUUGUUGAUACAAUAAAUUAUACAUUGAAUGUUGACUUCUUUUUUUUCAGUCGCAACUAACUCAAAUCUCCUCUAAACAGUUCCAAAUUAGAUACAGUUUCCUCUCGAUAUUUCAAUUUUUUAAAAAUAUAUUAUUCACUCAAAAGGAUUCACGUUUGCGACAAAUCUACCUCGUGAUAUACUUGUUAAUUAUGAAUGUUAUGAGAACUACAAAAUCGUGAAUCUGUAAAUUUUUAAAGAAGUGGUUUCAUGAUAAUCAACUCACGUACAUUUCAUCAAAAGAUAACCGUUACCUCAAGAAGUUAAUUAUCACUAAAUAAGUAAAAACUAUCAUUAUUUUUACAUGAUUUGUACUGCAUCACUAGAGAUGAGUUCCAUGGAAUAAUUCAUUUGCAAACUCUUUACUGCCAUCUAGAUAGUCUAAGAAAUCUUUUACGGGAUAUAAAAAGAUACAUUUUUGAAAGAGUUAAAAGAAUCACAUGAAAGAGGGGCUAAAGGGUAGAGACAAAAAAAACAAAUAAGACUACAGGAAUAAUGAACUAAUAAUUGGGCUAAGUUUGAUUAGUAUAGUGACCAUUGAGUAGUAAACUUGUCACGAUUCUGACCGUUGUGAUUGACACCCACACUAAUCCUCCGGUGGGAGAACCAUUAAUACUAAUUAGUUAACCCGAGAACUACGCAACUUAAUCAAAACUUAGGCAUUUAAAGAUACGGAAGCAGGUUUAAAUGCAAGAGUCAAGUAGAGUUCCCAUAAACUCCAAUAGAUCUAACAAAACAUUGCGGAAAUUACUGCUUAGAACCUGAAAGUCAAUGUAUCAAAACUUUAACAAGGAAUCAUAAGUCUAAAGGAAAUGGGUACAACCCAAUUAAACACAAGAAAACUAAAGCACUAGUCUAAGUCCGAAGAUGUGGACAUAAUUAAUACAAAGAGAACUCAUGACAGCCCAGAAGAACUGGCUCACCCUUGAAUUCGAGUCGAUCACUGGUCUUCUGAACGAGGUCAGUCAGUAGCCGCCUGAAGAUACUUACGAACAACGUCAAUUUCACAAUCUCAAAGAUAUAUAGACAUGUCAAGUCAUUGGUCCUCUCACGGAAACCAUACCCAAACUGUUAGUGUACCGGUACGUGGUACCCGAUCCAAGUUAGUGUGUCGGACGUGACACUCGAUCCAAGUUAGUGUGUUGGAACAUAACACCCGAUCCGUUCAACAAGCCACAAUCACAAUCACAAUGUACAUUCUCAUAAUCAUACAAUCAAGUGUUGAUUCAUGGCAUACAAUCAUUCAUUCAUGCUCAUUUACGAUUAGUGUGGUCAAUAGUGCAAUGUUCGCAUAAAUAUAUGCAUACAAUCACACUCAUAUGUACAUUCUCAUAAUCAUACAAUCAAGUCAUGAUUCAUGACAUACAAUUAUUUAAUCAUUCUCAUUUACAAUUGGUGUGAUCAAUAAUGCAACAUUCGCAUACAUGUAUGCAUUACAAUGAAGUAAUUACUAACAUACAUCACACCAACAUGAAAUCACAACUAUCACCUACCUCGAACAAAGCUUGAACCUUCAUAAGAAACUUGACAAACAAUCAACAUAACGCAGAGAUCAAUAAACGAUGGCUAAUUACCCGGAUUACAAUCAAUACUAUCAACCCUAAGCCAAACCCAUGAUCCCAAUACCCAAAAUAGGGCUUUUUCCACCAUCCAAACAGCUCUAAAACCCUCCCCUAUCAAUAAUUACCCCUGAAUUUACAUUCUACGAAUUGAAAAACGGAUUCGGGGAGUGAAACCUUACCUUUAGCCUCAAGAAUAGUGAAAAACUGCCAAGAAGUCGCCCUGGUUCGUCUCCUAACUCUUAAGAACGAAGUUUGCAGAAUAAUGACGUUUUUGGGGUUUAUUUCCGACUUAAUUCGCGAUUGGCCCGCUAUGACGGCCCCCAUCCCGCCAUAGCGUCCCCACCCUGGCGGCUUGCACAGAACCAGUGAGCCGGAUUAAGAGUUUCAAACCCCCAUUUCACAACACACAUUCAUCCCAUGACACUCAGAAACUAUCCUCUCGCGCUAAGAUCAAUUUUGGGAGUUCUACUCGCCCAAAUUCAAUUCCGUAAAGUCGUAUGGUUUUCUUAACGUCUUAGCUAUCCACUUAUGCGAUCAAAUUCAUUAUUAGAUCUUUCAUUUGUUACCAGAUUUCCCCAGACCUCACUGACUCCGAUUUCGUCCAAAUCUGGACUAGGUUGGAAAAUUCCAAGUUUAUCAAAAAGUUUUCUGCCCAAAAAAUUUUCCCGUUUACUUUUCUAUAACGACGAGAAUAGAUCGUUACAAAACUAAUAAUUUGACUAAUUUUGGUUAGUAAGAUGAUCUAAUUAUCAUUCUUUUUUAUUUUUGUUUAAUCAAUUCUGAAUGGAGAUGUGUGUAGUAGACAUAAUAUAUUGAUAAAUAUAGUCUUUUUGAAAGUCAAGGGAGCCAUUAACCCUUAACAAUUUAGUUCAGUUCUAAAACCUUUACACUAUUUUCUUACUAUUUUUGACCCCCUUUAUUUACAUUAUAUCAAACAAUUUAAUCAAUAGUUAAAAUCAAAGUAUUUAUCACUUAACUAUGCCAUAAAAGCGAGAUAGGGUAGUACACCAAUUUGCUUCUGAGGUGUUUUAAGCUUGUAUUAGUAAUAUGAUGGUUUUAAUUGUGCUAAUAUUAAUUACGUUAAAAUCAUUCUUAUACAUUAUUAUUUAAUAUAGGUGUGUUUUUAAAAAUCUACUUACAUAAGUUCAUUCACAACAACAACAACAUGCCCAGUGAAAUCCCACUAGGUGGGGUCUGGGGAAGUUCAUUCACAAAUAUAGUGAAAUAUAUGUGGAGAAAAUGUUUUAAAAGACAAUUGUGUGUUUAAUCAUAUUUAUGCAUGAAUUGAAAAUUCAUGUAUUGUUAAGGGCAAACACCAUAAAUUUCAUUAGUUUAAGAUCUAAUUAUGUGUCUUUUCGUGAGUUUUUGAAAUUAUUAUUCGUGCCAAAUUUUGAUAUUUAAAUACAUUUAUCUAGCGCGUUCAUAUACACGUAUUCCAGAUAAUGAGAUCAUUUUUUGUGUAAUUUGUUUUAGAUACAUUCUAUCCAACUAGAUAUACAUGUACCUGGAAUACAUUAAUUCUCUCAUUCUUUCUUUUCUAUUAGGGGUGGCAAAUGGGUGGAUUGGAUCGAAUUCAGAUGGAUUGAAUAUGGAUUGAGUUAAAAUAGAUUGGAUCACAAUCUACCCAUAUAAAAUAUGGGUAAAUAUGGUUUGAGUAAAAUGGUUGCAACCCACUUUAAUCUUCUAAAGCAAAAAAAUAUUAAAUCAAAGCUACGUACCUCAACCCUUACCAUCACACCCUACCCCAUAUCACCCCACCUCUAUAACCCCCCUCCCCCCCAAAAAUAAUAAUUUAAAAGACCUUUUUUGUGAAAUUUUUUUUGGCAACCCCACCCUCACCUCCAAAAAAAUUUCAAAAGAACUUUUUUUUUUGGAAAAAUAAAAAUUUUAUUAUUUUUUUAAAAUAUAUUUNNNNNNNNNNNNNNNNNNNNNNNNNNNNNNNNNNNNACUUUUUUUUGAAAAAAUAAAAAUUUUUAAUUUUGCCAACCCUACCCCCACCCUCACCCAGGACACCCCCCACCCACACACAAAAAAGUUUUAUAAAAAAUUUCAAUUUUUUUUUGCCCCCACUACCACAUCCACCCCCACCGCCACCCCAGUUUUUUAUAUUUUAUUUUCAAAAUAAAUAGUGCAAUUAGGGAUUUUUAUGGUAAGAGAGUGAUAUAUGGGUAUAUAUGGAUUCUCAUGUUUACCCAUUUUGUCCAUAUUUGUAUGAGCUUAAAUAAGUUGAUGCCCAUAUUUACCCAUUUAAGAAAAUAUGAGUGAUCCAUUGAAUUUAAUAUGGAAAAAAUGGUUCCUUCCAUUUAUAUGAGCUGAAAUUGCCACCCCUAGUUUCUAUCUCGCUUGCCUCUCUCCUCCGUCGCUUGCCUUUCUCACUCGUCUCUCUUCCUAUGUAUCCAUAUUUUAUAGUGCAUAUGACUUAUAAUUUGAUAUGAAGUUAUUAAUUAGUGAGAUCCUAUAUAAUUAUUUCAAACUAUAGAAAAAAAAUAGUAAAUAUGGUAAGAAUGUCUGUAUAACUAUUAGUUUUUUUUUCAAUUGUUAAUCCCAUAAUUUGCCACGUAGUUGUAGAAAACAUAAUAAAAUAAAUGGAUCAUUUGGUAGUGUAUAUAUAAGAAAUAGAGUUGAAUAAAGUGCAUUAGUAGUGGUGAUAUUACUAAUGUUGAUAUUAGUUAUGAUGAGACCAUUUGCUUAUAUAUUGUUUUUUUUAUGUAUUAAAAAUAAUAUGAAUUGCAUAAUUUCUAAAAAUAAUUAUUUGUUUACACAAAUACCGUCCAUAAUACAACAAAAAGAAUGUGUAAAAGAUUUUGAGAGACAAUUAUAUAUUUAACCAUGCUAGUACAUUCAUCAAAAACUCUUGCAUUACUGACACCAUAAUUUAUCAUGUACUCCCUCUGUCCAAUAAUAGUCGUCAACUAUUAACUUGACACACCCCUUAAGAAAUUAUAAAUAGAAGGACAAUUUUAUUAUAUCACCCUUUGAAUAUACUUCCUCCGUCCCUAAUUACUUGUCCACUUUUUCUUUUUUAGUUGUCCCUAAUUACUUGUCCAUUUUGACAAAUCAAGAAAGGACAAAAUAUUUUUACCUAUUAUACCCUCAAUUAAUUACUUCGAAAAAGGUAGAACUUUUUGAAAAUCUUAAGUUUUUAAUUCAUCCACUUCAUAAUUAAUAGGGGUAAAAUGGUAAACUCACUAUGUUAAAUAAUUGCUUUCUUAAUAGGUGUGUCAAUUUAAAAGUGGACAAGUAAUUAGGGACAUAGGGAGUAAUAAAUACAGUGUGUUGAAAAAUGUAAUAGGAAAAUGACUAUAAUUAAUGAUAAAGAUAAAUUAGGAACUAAAUGUAAAAUUAUUCAUGGAUUUCAUAAAGUGAACAAGUAUUGUUGGACGUCUAUUUUUAAUAGGCGUUUGGCCAUGCGAUACCAUAUCAUGAUAUGAAAUCGUGAGAUGGAUUCAACGUUUGGACAUGCGAUUUUACGCUGAUUCUAUCUCAUGAUUCCAUAUCAUGAGAUGUGAUUUCAUAUUCUCCAAAAACCAUGAUAUGAGAAUUUCAUAUCAUGAUUUGAGAUAUUUUUAAUACAAAAAUUGAUCCAUAAGUUUAUAUUUUGUUAAAACGACCCCACAUUUAUAUCUACUAACCAUUUUUCAUAUGUAAAUAAAAUUUAUAAUUACAUCAUUGCUUUUUUAAAUUUAUUAUUCUUACCGACAUAAAAUUUAUUAUUCUCACCAACACAUAGUCAUUUUAACUCACAUCAACCGAUUGUUGAGUAAUAAAAUUGUUCUCUUCAUUUACUCCAACACCUAAUUUAUUACUUCUACCGUUUUGUAUUUAUUACAACUCAAAGUAACAAUGUUGGUUCGUCUUCUCGGUCACAUGAUCGAGAAAUGCAAGUUCGGCGUGAGGAAAUUGUCCGUACUAUGUGAGAGGAUUAUAUUAAAGACUAGUACACUACAAUUUAUAUUCAAUUUUUUUUAUUGAAUUAAAGUUAGUUGAAACAAUUACUUAAGUGGAGAUCAAAUAACUUUGUAAUAAUUUAUUAUGAGAUUUUAUAAUUUUUUGUUUAUUUGUUAAGAUUGAAUAAACAAUUGGGGAUUUUUAAUAGUUUUACAACUUAUGAGAUUCUUAUGUUUAUGAGAAAAUAUACAACUCGAAAAUUUCAUAUCGCAUGUCCAAACAAAACUUCAAUUUCAUCUCAUAAUUCCAUAUAAUGAUAUUAUAUCAUGAUUCCAUAUCAUGAUACCAUAUCGCAUGGCCAAACGAGCUCUUAGUAUAGUGGACAAGUAUUGUUGGACGGAGGGAGUUAAUUAUGCAUAACAUAUUACCAAAUAAAGUACAUAAAAAGUGAAAAUUAUACCAAAUAAAAUAUUAAAAAUACACAAAGCUAAUCCAUGCAUUAUUAUUAUAAUACAUCCUACCAAAUAACGUGUGUGUAUCGGUCGAUUCAAUUCGAUUUUAUGUAUUAUCAAUUCGGUUUUAUCAAUUUUUAAAUAUGCUAAACCAAUACCGAUUUUAGAUUUAUCAGUUUUGAUCCUUAACAGUUGAGUUUUUCGAUUUAACCAAUAAAAAAUGCUUGUGAAACAAAUAUAUGACUUCUCUAACAAUUUGACACGACAAGACAAUAAUGUAACUUUGCAAAUGCUCCGUAACACCUCAGAAAAACUAGUAGGUGAAACUAGAACCUUACGAGUGUAUUGUUGAGUUUGAUGUGGGAUUUUUUGUUGUUAAAUGAGUUUCCGAGCUUAGGUUGAGGGGUUUAAAGGUUAAACGUCAAGGUACGACUCCCGAAGGACCAACCAAGACCUUAAAGCCUAACCCCCAAAGCUCCCCAAAACUGCCUAAGUUGCCAAAAAGUUGUGGGCUACGGGUGGUACCUACCCCUGUAGGUCCAUCCACUCCUCGUAGAGAGGUUUCAUGAGUCCAGAGAUGAGAUGUCAAGUUGCAGACCCCACCCACGGACCUGCAGGACGGGGUGUAAGUGCACCCACGGUCCGUGGGUCAAGGGGUGUGGAUCACACCUGGGAAUCUGCCUAGGCUCGGCUAAUUAAGGGGCAAGGUGGUAAAUUCUUAGGGUGGUUAGUUAAGUUAGGGGUCGGUUUGUUUUGAUUAUUUAGAGUUAUUUAAGGUUUUUUAAACUAUUAAACACCCCCUUACAACUCAUUAUUCCCAAAAACACAAAAUAAAAACUAUAUCCUCUCCAAAUAAUUCUCUCUCUGGAAACCUCCAUUGGAGAAGAAGAAGUCAAGGUUUGGAGUUCAAGAGUUCAUCUUUUCUCUUCAAUUUUGUGGAGAAUCUUCAGUCAAGGUAUGGUAGUUUUCAUCUAUGGGUAGCUUUCACCCAUAAAGUCCCUUCAAAACAUGAUUUCAAAGCUUUCAAAUUCCCCCAAAAGUUAGGGUUUCAAUAUAAGUCAUGGGUUCAAUUUCAAAACGUUUUCAAAGGUUGAUUUAUGAUGAAUGAUGAUUGAAUUGAGGAAUUAAUGUUGUUUUAUGAUGAAAUUUCCCCAUGAACCCAUGAUUCCCCUAAAAUAUUAAAUUGUGAAUUUAGAAUGUGGGUUGAUUGAUUAUGGAAGCAUGUUAAUUGAGUAUGUCUAUCUUGAUUGAGUUAUUGAAUCAUGAUAUUCCCCUUAUCUAAAUGUUUGGGUUGAAAUUGAUUCAUAGCCCUGGAGGGCAAAUUAUGAAAGAUUGAUGUAUAAUCAUGAUGCUAUGCAUGAUCCAUGCCUAAUUGUAGUAAUUCUAGGUGUGUUGGUGAAUUGUGAUUCAUAGCCUUGAAGGGCAAAGUAUGAAGAAUUGAUGUAUAAUCAUGAUGCCAUGUGUAUGCUUUGUGAUUUCAAUGAAAGUAAUGUGACCAUGACUACAAUGCAAUUGUGAUAUUAUUGUAAUGUUAUUCUCAAUUAUACACUUGUGAAUGAUGAUGGUAUAUUGUGAAAGAUUUCUUCAAUGUAAUGAUAUACCUUGAAUUGGUAGGCUUAGGGCAUCCUCUUUAACUAAUGUAUCUGGACUUAAUGAAUAUUGAAUCGGUAGACCUAAUGGUUGUAGCCCUUUCCUGUUAUGAAUAAUGAACAUUGAAUUGGUAGACCUAAUGGUGGUAGUCCUUUCAUGUAAUGAAUAAUGAACCUUGAAUUAGUAGACCUAAUGGUGGUAGCCCUUUCAUAAAUGAUUAAUGAAGUAUUCUAAGGCUAUGUCUUGAACCGGUAGACCUAAUGGUGGUAGCCCUUUAUGAUGAGUCUAUGAACUACUAAUGUAAUGAUGAACAUUGAUUCGGUAGACCUAAUGGUGGUGGCCCUUUCUUGAGGAUUCAAUGAGCUAUCCUAAUAAUGUACCUUGAAUCGGUAGACCUAAUGGUGGUGGCUCUUUCAUGUGUGUAAUGUACUUUGGGUCGGUAGACCUAAUGGUGGUAGCCCUCUUAAGUAUAAUAAUGUUAAUGAGAAUGAACUACUCUAUGGGAAUGUAAGCUUGACACCGAGUUGAUAUGGUAAGAUAGAAGCUCUCCCCAUGUUAGGCCGGGUUUCAAUGAACAUCUUCUUUAUCCCAAAACUAUGUGCCCACAUAAGUUAUUAGCUAGUAGAUCCACCUAAGUUAAAAUGUUAUGGGUCCUACCUUAGGCAAGUAGACCAACCCUUUACGGUGUAGGAUAGACACCGAAUUUCAUGGUUUACUCACAUGGUCUAUGUCGGUUAAUGUUUAUUCCCAUCAUGUGAGAUACAUGCUAUAGUUACUCAAGAGGUUCUAUGAAGUGUGGGUGGUAGUAUGAGAUGCCAUUCAUGUAUUGCACGAGUAGGCUUUGCGAGGGCUAUGGUGUGUUCUCUAAUGUCUUAAUGUCUAAUGAAAUGAAUGUGCUCAUAAUGAAGCUAAUGAGAAUGUUGACUUAAAGAGUUAAUGAAAUGAUGAAUGCUCAACUUGAAAAUGUUAUUAUGAGUUCAUUUCCUUGUCAUGCCUUAUUGAAUGUAAAUGUUCAUUGUCUAUGAUUAUUGACUAAAGAGGAGAUUGAAGAAUGAUAAAUAUGUUAUAGUGGCCUCAAAGUGGUACUUAGUAUGAAUGGUAUUAUGGGAUGCCAUUCAUAUAUUGCACAAGUAUAACUUAGGGUUACUUUCAUGAUGACUCUAUUAUGUUCUAAUGACUUACAUGAUAAAUAUGCUUAUGUCUUGUAUGUUUAUACUAAAGAUGCAUGAUGAUUCUCAAACUUGACAUAAAGCAUGGUUUUCAACCAAAAUGUCCUUUUAAGCAUGGUUUUUACAUGGCUAUCAUACUUAGUACAUUUUUUUUGUGUUAACCCAUAUUUCUUCUAUUUUUCUACAAAGUGUAGGUUCCGGAUCUUAAGGUGAUUUUCUUUGGAGUAAAACUUGGAUUGACUAUUCUCUAAGCUAGUGGUGAGUCCUCAAGAUUCGAGGACAUAUGAGAGUCUUUAGUAGUUUCUUAUGUCAUUUUACGUUUCAGACUAUGUUUAAGUGCUGUGACCCUAUCUUUGAUUCAAGUUGUAUUAGAUGACCAUGUGAGACAAGUUAGACUUCCGUUGUUUGUUUUUAAGUAAAGUUUUCGAUUGUAUGGAUUAAAAGUUUUAAAUUCCGUACUAUUUUUCAUAUGUCUUAUGUUAUGAAUGCUAUGAAGUUUUUCGGAGUCUUGUACGCCGUGUCACGUCCGGGGUGUAGGCUCGAAUCGUGACAUGCUCAUAAAAUAUAAACAGUAAUAACUAACAUGAAAAGAUUAUACAAGUGUAGCACAAAGAGAAAUUAAGAGGGAAAAAAAUUCUUACUUUAGAUUUUGAUGUUUUGUAUAUUGUGAAGUAUAAAUUGAAGGCUAAAAUGCAAAGAUAGUAACUACUAACUAGUGAUGCAUUGAGACUAAUAUUUAACAUUUAUGUACGGGUAAAGUAGUAAAUUACUACAGUCUUAAUGUGUUAUCAAUUUAUCCAAUAACUCAAUAUUCAAAAAUCAAAAUCGAAUCGAUAAAUCGAUAGAUUUUUUUAUUAAACCAUUAGAAAAUUGUUAACCCAAUAACCCAAUAAAAAUUAAUAAAUAAUAUUUUUUUCAAUUUCGAUUUAUCGAUCGAUUUAAUUUUUGCACACCCUGCGAAACACUCCGGGGAAAUUGAGAUUCCAAAAGGGAACAUGUGUAAAUAAAUCAAAGCUGAGGGGUUAAAAGUGAAAAUCAAUGGAACAGAUCCUACACCGUUGGCAUUUAUAACCAGAAAAAAGCCCUAAAAUUAAGAACUCUCUGGAAGAAGUGCAGCACAGCACCAGGAGAGAGAACCCGACAAGAACUGGAGAAGAAGUUGAUCACCAAUUUCAUCAGAAUUCCGCCGAGCCGAAAUUGAAAUUCCAGGUAAUAUUUAGUAGAUUUUUUUCUCACAGCUCUGUCCUAAGAUAAGGGCACAUUUGUUAAUCCCUGAGAAGGGUCGAGGGUGGAAGAAACCCUAGUUACGAAUCUGUAAAAAUCUUACCGAAUUUAGCUAUUUCUGUAUUUUCUGGAUGUUCUGUGUUGCGAAUUGAUCGUUUUCUGUUUGUGGCAGAAUGGGUUCAUUUCGUAAUCCCAGGGUUUGUUUUAGCCUGGGUGUUGCUUCUCAUUGUUCGUCGGCUUUUGCUAGAAAAGCUCGAACUUUUAUGGGUCAUAUCUCUUGUGAUGUUUCUUGUGUUACAUAACAGUGUGAUAGUUUUUUUAUUAGUGAAAUUCGUACUGCAAUAGCGUUUUUCCCUUCAAAGAGCUGCAACCAUCAUGUCGGACUUGCUUGGCAGGAAAUAAUAGGAAUAUUGGAAUUGAAAGAUGAAAUUCUAAUCGUGUAAUAAGAAAAAUACUUGAUGGGUUUGCUUGGUAUGACAGAGAAUAUUUUAUUGAAUGGUUUUUUACUCAUUGAAUCGUUCUCCAAUGUUUAUUUCCUCAAUGGUUGAAAAUUCACCACCAAAAGGGUGAAAACAACUUAAGUCAUUUUCCAUUGCGAAUAUUCUGAAUCUCACUCUAUAUCACUUGCUUCAUCCAACACAUAAGGGUCGUUGUCAACUUUAAUAUUCAAAGAUUUCACCAAAAUACCAUCCUCCAUCUUUUAUGAUUGCUGGGGUGGAGCCACAUUAUAGUUGACGGGUUUGGUAGCUUAUAGCCUGGGUGGACAGAGUUACUGGUACCUGGUACUGGUACUCGUUGCUGGUGGGAGGUGGCAGGUAUCCCGUGUAAUUAGUCGAGGUGCGAGAAAGCUGGCCAGGACACCAUGGUCAUCAAAAAUAACAUAAAUUUAUCCCGAACCCAUUCUCUUUAUUCUCAAAAUAAAUAAAUAAUUUAUCUAGAACCCUAUUUGAAGAUGCCUUUUCUAAAAUUCAGGACCUAUAAACUCAAUCCUAGCGCAUUUGAUGGUUGCCAUAUGAUCCUGUUUUUAAUCCAACCAAAUAUUGAAAAACAUUUUAGACAACGAUCUGCCAAAGUAAAUCCUUUUUUCUCCGAAAAUAUGUUGCAUCAUAUCCAAUUCUCAUCUUUGUAGUCUCCACAGUUCAAAGUUCAAGCAAUGUUUUACUGACAAUUGGUGACUUAGAAAUCUUUUUUUUUGAGAACUUCUUUUUUUGCAUUGUAAAGUGACUGAGAAACUAUGGAAGUAUUUCAUUAACCUGAGAGGUAUAACAUGGACCAUGCCUAGAAAUACUGCAGAAGUCCUAGCAUGUUGGAAUAGAGAUGGAAAUCAGUCAGGACACAAGGAGAGAUGGAAGAUUGUCCCUGCCUGCAUCUGGUGGACAAUAUGGAGUGAGAGAAAUCAGAGAUGUUUUGAGAACAAGAGCAUCCCUUUCCAAAGCAUUAAAAUGAAUUCUUUAGUGACCUUUUACUUUUGGUGUAUCCAUUCUAUUCCCAAGGAUCCGGGGGACAUCACCCUAUUCUUAGAUAGUUUACGAGGGAGAUAGGUGUUUAGAUUCUUUUUGGUAAACCCUCUAUACUUUUGAUGUAAUUACUACAGGAGUUCACUAUUGGUGUACUUCUAUGUUUAUAAUACCAGUUAACUUUCUCAAAAAAAAAUCUUAUCUUAUCUUAGGUUCAGGGAAAUGACAUCAGUUGCGCUAAACUGGUUUUAUGUUAACUUAAACAGGAAAGGUAUAUAUUGCAUGCCUUGUAGGAUGAUUUCUCAGUGAUCUUAAAAAUAAUUAAGAAAAGGGAAAAUGCAUUAGUAUGUCGCGAUCUCACCUCAUCUUAUGACAUAAAUGCUUUCUUUAUGAUAGAUUUCAAGCGCUUGGAACAAAAAUGAGCUUUGGAAUCAUACAUAGGGAUGUAUUUGGGGGAGUGGGACAAGUCAGGGUGGAGUAUUUGGGUUUUAUGUGUAGUUGGAGGUUCUUUCUCACUCUCAGAAGAGCUAUCAUCUGCAAAAAUUUUGAGUGGAUGAGGAGAUCAAAUAUUAGUUCAAAUAAUUUUUGCUUUGGAGCAUCUUGGAACAUAUGAGCGAUGGAGCUUCUGGAUCAUUAGCUUAACUUGGGAUUGUUCUCUUGGUUUCAUAAUUUUUCUGUUUGAAUCUAUAAUUUUGGAGCAUCAUGGAGCAUUUUGAGCAAUGGAGCUGGUGGAGCACAGCUCAAUUGAAGGAUUGCUCUCUUGGUUUGCUUCAGAAUUUUUCUGCUCGAUUCUGUUAUUGUCAAGUCAAAUACAGAAUGAUAUAAAUUUAUCCAUUAUAUUGUUUAAUUAUUUCUCUUCAAUGUUAACUGGAAUCUUGAAAAUUGUUUAUAAGUUACAUCUGCUUGCAGUUAUCUGUGAAUUCUCCCUUCAUUGCUGAGAAUGAGUGGCCGCUUUUCACGCUCAAUCUACGUUGGCAACCUACCAGCAGAUAUAAAGGAACUGGAAGUUGAAGAUCUAUUCUACAAGGUAUGUCACAUUCACUUAUUUAAACACUCUUAGCUGCAAAGGCUUAUUUUCUUGUGGAGAAGUUAGUUAUCAAUUGUACUUAGCUCAUAGGGCUCUGGAUUCAACCUUCGAUGCAUAAGUUAUACUUGUAAACAACAAAAAACAACGGCAUCACUUGAGAUUAUAUUGCAGAUGAAUGCAUUCCUAGGUAUGCUUGUUUUCUGAAUUUCAUUACAAUGCCAUCCCCAUCUGUAUAAUGGAUGGAAUUUUUUGAUUGAACUCUUAUUUGUAAAAUUUUAGAACAAGAAAGCCUAAGUGUAGUCUCAUAAGAGAAUCUGUUGCAGUACUAGUAUCAAUAUUAAGUUAUGGUUGAAAACAAAGUUUGAUGGUGAGAGAGGCUUCUUCUUUAGUAUCCUGCACUGCAUCCUCCUCCUUGCCUCAAUACCACCAGUAUUCUGUUUACCCGAUUGAGAGUAAACAGUUGGGAGGCAUCGAUUUGGAAGCAUUCAGCCUUGUCUUGAAAUGUAGAGUUGGUUUAGCAUACAUUCUUGCGAACACUAUACCCUGAGAUUCCUUGUAAAAGCAACACUGUAUCCUAAGAUUUGUUGUAAAAGAAACACUGUAUCCUAAGCUUAAAAAGUGCUUACUGUUUAUAAAUUCUCUCCUGUAUUGCAGUAUGGUCGUAUAUUGGACAUUGAGUUGAAGAUCCCACCUCGUCCUCCUUGCUAUUGUUUCGUGGAGGUAUGUUUAUUUAGCAUAUUUACAUGUAUACAGUUUUCUGUAGUUUGAAGUUUGACCUUCUGCUGUCGGUUGCUUUUUCUUUUUCCCUUUCUGGUUGUCAAUUGCUUCUUUUGUCUGCUGAUUAUCUGUCAUUUCCCUUCCCCGAAUUCUUUAGUUUGAAAGUUCUCGAGAUGCUGAAGAUGCCAUCAGGGGUAGAGAUGGCUACAACUUUGAUGGCUGUAGGCUGAGGGUAAGAACAAUUUCCAUCUUGAUUCUCUCAUAUUCAUAGAUACACAGAUCUAUGUAGGAAAUAUGAGCUUCCACGUGUUUGACACUUUAGAUGCAUGAUAUAGGUUGAGCUUGCUCAUGGAGGAAGAGGGCCAUCAUCUUCAAGUGAUCGUCGAGGCAGUUAUGGCAGCAGUGGUGGUGGAGGUGGAGGUGGAGGGCGUCAUGGCAUUUCUCGGCAUUCUGAUUACCGAGGUUCCACUAUAACUUACUUGAAUGUCUCUUGAAGUUUCCUGUCUUGAUUGCCGUCUAUGUAAUUGUCCCUGAUCAUAUAGAUGUCUCUUGACUUUUCUUGUCAUCUAUAUACAGUUAUUAUUCGAGGUCUUCCAUCUUCUGCUUCUUGGCAAGAUUUGAAGGUAAGUUAAGUGGGCAGGAUAUUUCCCAGUGGUGGUUUGUAUCUAUAGCAAUUGCAGUAACCUGGUGGAAAAUAUGUCAGGAUCAUAUGCGGAAAGCUGGGGAUGUGUGCUUUGCUGAGGUUUCUCGUGACAGUGAAGGUAUGACCAAGUCUUACAUCUCGAAGACAUAUCUAACUGGAUCCUUUUACUUGUGAAUUUUAAACAAUACUCAAGAAUACUGGAAUUGUGGUGAAAAAACUGCAUGUAUGCGACUCUGAUCUCCAAGGAAAUUAAGAUCAGAAAAUUUCCCGAGAAUUAGCGGGGGUUUUAUCAAGAAGGGAAGAAAGACAAUUAAUUACACUUGCAAUUUAAGGAAACAAAGUGCUACAGAGAAACCAGAAUUGAUUAUGUGAAUAAAAGAAUUGGAAAAUAUAAAUUAAGUACACAGAGUAAGAAUCUCACCAUUUGAAGACCAUAGUAAAUUUCUAAUGCAAAUGAUUAGCUCUAAGUUCUUCAGAUUUAGUGCGGAGUUCUCUUAAUGUUAAAUUUCCAAUUUCUUAUUCCUAAUUACUAUGUUAUUCAUUCAUAAAAUGUUUCUUUAAUGAUUAAUAUAUCACUUCGCCAACACUAUUAGUUUUUCCCUCCUUGAGACAGUGCACGGCUGUAAUGAGGUGUACAUCUUAGCACCUUGGCGCUUCUUAGCAAAGCGCUGAGACGGCGAGGCAGAGACCAUGCUUCAAUUCGCUUGUCUUUUGGCCUUUAUUGUGCCUUGAGCUAACCUUUGAGAAAAACUGAAGUGCAAGAUGAAAAUGCAAAUGUCGUAUUUUUAUUUUUGUAAGAUUUGAAUAUUCAGGAAAAUUGUUUUUAGGUGACAUUUGUAUUCUGCUCUUGUGCUAACUGUGUUUAUGUCUGUAGUUCUAAAUUUUCUUGUCCAUAUCAGGAACCUUUGGCUUGGUGGACUACACAAAUUAUGAAGACAUGAAAUAUGCUGUAAGUUUCUUAUCUGCCUCAUUAUCUAAAUGGGUUUUAAACUCAAUAUUGCUAUCUUCUUUUUUUUGAGGAGUUAGACCCUAUCGCACGGUUGAGUUUCCUGAACUUUCGAGUUCCUUGGUUCUUUAACCAUUGGAAGGAUGGUUAUUUGUUUUUUUUUUAAUUAAUAUCCUCUGCAAGUAAUUCUUGUGUUUUGCUAGUUUCAUUACUCAUGAAUGUUUAAUCUGCAACUCCCUUGAUGGUGGUGUUUCUUAUUUUAUUUUGUCCCUUUGGAGAAGGGCCAAGCUUGUGGUUAACAUGUUUUCUUUUCGUUCAGAUAAGAAAACUUGAUGAUACUGAGUUCAGGAAUCCUUGGACAAGAACCUACAUCCGGGUAUUUGUUUAUCCUUGUUUUUCUUUACACUACAUUUUAUUUUAGUUUUCUUCCUUCAACCCAAACUCUUGGAAAGACUUUAAUUUUAAAUCAAUGCUUAAUCUCUCAGCAUAUUCACGGGGUAUGGUGGUGAUUUCCUGAUUCGAUGGUUUUUAAUACUCCCUUAGUUCAAUUUGUCUGUCUUACUAUCCUUUUAGUCGGUUUAAAAAAUAAUGCCUCUUCUCUAAUUCUUAACUCUUUAAUUUAAACAUCCCAUGUGGCUUGUUUAAGGCCACAGAUUAAAGGUCAUUUUGGGACAUUAUACAUAUAUUUAGUUGAAGGGCGCAUCAUUCAGAAGUUUUCUGUACUUUCUUAAACUUCAUGCCAAUUCAAAUCGAGAGAAACAAAUUGAAACAGAGGGAGUAUUGGAUAUCUAGGAUUUUUACGACACAAUUAUUCAGUGAACAUGUGUACUUGAGUUAGUAGUAGCAGGAAUUUUCGUAUUUACAAUGUAUUUUUACGUUGAUGCUCAUUUCAAUUUUCUGUUCCCUUCAUAUAUAGGUAAGAGAAUACAAGGGCAGCCCUUCAAGAAGUCGUAGCCGGAGCAGAAGCAGGAGCAGAACUCCAAGGAAGAGUAGGAGGUAGAUCAAGUUGCAGAUAAUAAAUGAACUCGUUUAUGUACAUUCCUUUUUCUCUUGAUAUCUUACUGAGUGUUUGUUCAGAUCACCCGCCCGUUCAGUUUCGAGAUCACCACCGCCAAAGUCUAGAUCUGCAUCUCCUGUUAAGUCGACCAGGUAUAUGACAUUGCAUAUUACUUAAAAUUGUAUUUUUUUUUGUAGGUACUAAUAUAGCCUUUUGUUUUCUAUUUUCAAUUUAUCUUCAAGGCUUUUUUAACACUUGAGCUCAUAAUCUGUGUCCAGGUCCAGGUCCAGGUCCAGGUCAUUGUCCAGAUCAAUGUCUAGGUCGAGAUCGAGAUCGAGGUCACCGUCAAGGUCCAGAUCGGCAUCACCACAGCAGGUUAGGCUAUUUUUUGGUAUUUAAUUAAUGUUUGAUUUGCCUCUGGAUGAUCACUUGUGUUUUUGUUAGUCUUGUUGCAAAUGGUCCUGAUCAGAAUUUUGGAUGCUUCAUAUUGAACUUUUCUAAUGUUUGCAUAUUAUGGUCUUUUUCCAGGCAUGAUCAAACAGUGGCUUAUGCUGCCGCUAGAUUUGUUUAGUGGUGUUCUCCUCUUGAAAGGAGAAUCUGAAACUCUAUAUUGUUAGUUUGAUAGGAGUCUGCUAUGGACUAGAUCUGUAUUAAAGACUGGAACCUUUGGAGGUCUGUCCUAGCAAUGUGUUGUUUUAUCUGUGAGAGCUGCAGUAUCUCUGUUCUCUCGGCUGUCAUUAGUCAUUGGCCAAUCAAACAUGUAGACUUUUGCACAGUGGUUUUUCUGCUUAACUUAGUUCCGACUAUAUUAAAACAUUAGCGUGUUGAUUUCAUUUGUUGUCGAUGUGAUGCUGUAUCUGAUCGUCUCUUCUCACACUUGGUAUUUGUUUAAGCAUUUGAUAUUCCCAGUCAAAAUACCUCGCCAAAACGUAAAUAUAUUCUCUAGUGAUCAGUCUUAAAUACAAAAAAUGUAACUCGGUGCACAACAGACUCUGCGUUAGAAGGGCUGCUGGUGUCAUAUAGAUUGUAUACCCUAAAGCAAGCAUUGAUGGUGAUGUCUCAACUGUUGCUGAAAUUGUCUUGGAAAGUUCAUGCGUUAGGGUUCAGUGAUAGCUAGUUAGUACAUCAAUUAAGGGUGUCCUUUCAAUGGAAAGAGAGAACUACAGGAGUUGUUUGGUUUGAAUACAAGUUAUGCAACCAGUAAUUCUGGAUUAUUUCUUAUUGAUUGUUUGAUUUGUAGUACGAAAAAGAAUAUCCAUUGCAUACUUGUUAAAAUAAAAUCAUUUAUUUACAAAAAUAUCUUCUCCAACAAAAGUUUUUACUGCUCAGCCAAACUUCCAACAAAAGUUUUAACUGAGCUAGGGUUUUUUCGACGUAACUUCAUGUUUCAAAUUUUAUGAACCGUAAUCAGCUUAAGACGCAAUUUCGUAAAAAAUCUUUGAAACUUGAAUUCAUCCAAAGUAAGUAUUUUUGACUGAGUUAAGCUAAUAUUUAACCAUUUCACCAAAAUAGUAAAGCUAUUAUUUAAAUCAGUUCAUCAAAAUAGCAAGUAAAUCAUUACCACAAAUAAUGUUUUAUACAUUAAUUCUACUAAUUGAUUGCAUUUUGUGAAUUGCAUAUGCUUUACUAAUAUGUGCAAAAUAGUUAUAUCUCAUUUGCUUGAUCUAAAGUUUACAAAUGAUCAGCACUUGAUAUUCUCAACUAAGGACGCUACAAAUAUAAUCUAACUAGUUUUGACACUUUCACAAGUUGGGUUAUAAGAAGCAAAAUAAAUAAAUAUCGAAGAUAGUAAAAAAGUUUAAAAUGUAGCUAUUCGUGUGUAAAGCCGUUAGACCCGUAGCACCUGAAAUCCGUAACGUACUCCUCCACCCUAAUAUUUCGUAUCUAUUCGUUUUACGGUCCUCUAAAUACCAACUUAUUUUCUAUAAUCAAAACUGAUUUUUUGUUCUAAUCUUUCUUAUUAUUCUUUACAACUUUCAUCAAUUUUGUGCAAAAAUGUCAGUUGGGGAACUUGGUUGUACCUAUGCUGCGUUACUUCUCUUCGAUGAUGGAAUUCCCAUUACUGUAAUAAUCAUCAUUCCUUACCCGCUAAUUAAUUUUUCUUUUAUCAUAAUCUUUUAAUUAACAUAAUUGUAUUUGGGAUUUCAGGCAGAGAAGAUUGCUACGGUGGUGAAAGCAGCUAAUAUUUCAGUGGAGUCUUAUUGGCCUAGUCUUUUCGCCAAGCUAUUUGAGAAGAGGGACAUUGAAGAUCUUAUUUUGACUGUUGGGACAGGUGGCGGUCCAGCAGUAGCUGUUACUGCUGCCCCCGUUGGUGGAGGUGGUGCUGCUGCUGCUGCUCCCGCCGCUGAGGAGAAAAAGGUAACAAAUUUGUCAUAAAUGUUACUAGUACGUAUUUAUAUAUUAAGUAGUUUUUAUUAUUCUCUCUGUCCCAAUUUAUGACGUGUUUGUUUGAUUGUGUGGUUGCAGGAGGAGAUGAAGGAGGACAGUGACGAGGAUUUGGGAUUGAGCUUGUUUGAUUAGGAGUUUCUCUUUUAAUAUGCAAUAUAUUUGGCUUUAGGUGUUUUAAUUUCCUUACAAGGUUAAUUUGCUAAUUGCUCAUUAUUGUGUUGCUAUAAUUCUUACCAAAAGUUUUUCAUGAUGGAAUAUGUUAAGACACUAAAUUUGAUCUCUAAAUAUUACUCUCUGCUUUGGGGUUUUUGUUCUCUCAUUGUUCUGUAAUAUGAAUACAACAUUACUACAUACAUCUUUUAUGGUAAGCUCUCUACUGAGCAGUUGAUUUUGUGAGUUAUAUAUGUUGAUAGGGGUUUGGUACACUAGGCACGCACAAUGUCCUAUCUGAAUUGUUUUGUUACACAAAACCUACAACUUAUGUCCAAUAUUUUUAUGAGAACAAUGGAAGGUCAGGAUUGAAAUCUCAAUAACGAUAAAAAUACUAGGUGAUUCUUUCCAUUAUGUUACAUGUGUUAGUGCGAGGAAGCAGAUUAGUAGGUAUUAGUACGUGUAUAUAUUGCUAUUCAUCAUAGGAUUUAUUGGUAGUAUGUAACACCAGAUGAGAGCUACAUACCAUUUGGAAUAAUAUCCAUGUAUGAUGUAUAGAAUCAGAUGACUAACCUUAGCUCAUCUAAAAAUAUAUCACUUUCGUGUAUUCACUUUCAUGAUUGCUUGCCUUAUAUGCACUCUUGGGGUAUUACCAAUUACCCGUACGUUACAUUAUAUCCAGGUUUUAAAGUAACAUAUACAUUAAUUAUAUUAUUUCUGUAUUAAUUAGGAGGUGUUUCACGGAAGAUAUUAGAGAAAAUAACGCAUGUAUUAGUUUUAGUAUUAUUAAUCCAAUAUUUGGUGCAAUUUUUCAAAACAUGAUUGCCUUGAAAGUGUAUAGAACUAAGAAGAAUGUGGAGGUUUUUUUUCUUUGAAAUAAAUAUCUACUUUUAGAAAAUUACGUAAUAUUUGUUAUUUUUAAUAUAUCAAAUUAAAUAAUGUAUAAAAAAAUAAUCUGAACAUAACUAAUUUCAAUAUUAUUACUAUUCCUUUUUCAGUAGUACAAUUUUUAUACCCCUUGUCAAACAAUUCUUAAGUCUAGAUAUUGAAUAAUCAUGGUCGAAGAAGAUUCCUUCAUUCACUACUUGCUAACACACUGCAACGUCAAGAUAUUGACUCAAAACUCCUUUUAAGUCAAUCAUGGCUGUUUCAAUUCAAUAAGUUUGACUAGAAGAACCCAUAAAAGUCCAUGUGUCAUUUUAACAAAAAUGAAGUUUUAAACAAGAAAUAAACAAACUAAUAUAGUAUAAUUUAAAUAAACAUCUCUUAAAAAUUGAACACUAUAUUUAAAAAUAUAUUAUUUUUUGGCAUCAAUUAUUUUUGAAAUAGUUUUUUUUUUAAAAUCCCAUAUACAAGUUGAACAGGUUUCAAACUCAACUUCAUUGAUCACGUCAGUCCCAACUCCCACCAAUAUAGAAUUAGUCCUUAAGCUUAUCCACACUGGCCUUGCUCCAAAAAAGGGGUAAAAGCACACGUAUUCAUGUCUCAUACCACAUCAAACAUGACACGUUCAACCCUUCAUUUAUUUUUACACUAAUUUCCUACUUAAAAAAAAUUCUCCCCCUGUCCCCUUUUUCACCUAAAUUUUGAGACUCAAAAACUUUUAAAUUAUCAUGUGAAUUUGAAUAUACAAGUUUUAAAUAAUAUUUAUAUAUUUCAAAAUUACGUAAAAUUAAUUUAAAUUAGUUUUCAAAAUUGUGAUAGUGACGCAUAAAUUGGGACAGAAGAAGUGUUUGUUAUUGGGAUUAGGUAAUUUCCAGUUAAAUCCAGAAGAUAUACAUUACGUCGUUUGAAAAAAUGAAAAGUAGACCCAAUUGACACGCGUUAGUUUUCCAAGUUCGUUCGCUGACCCAAUUCAACGAAUUAGAGAAACAGUAUUGGAAAUUUCGUUUCAACUACUUUUACUUUCCAGAUCUUUCUUUAAUACGCUUCCCCUAUAUAUACUCCUGCUUCUGCUACUUCUUUUCUUCGUACUCAAGUUUUAAUUUAACAUAAACUCACUGCUUACAUCAACAAAUCAAUACUCUCUUUAUUUUCUUGUUAUUUGUUAGUAAUUUGCAAGUGAAUCGCCAACGAUGAUGAUGUCAAUUUUCAGUUCCUUUGAUGCCCUCUCUGCUGAACUUUUUGGGCAGAAAUUGAGUUUUUCUAAGCCAUCUAGUACUGACACAAAACAACAAGGGGUUGGAACUCUUGUAUCAGAUCAAAAAACCGCCGCUUCUCCGCCGGCUACUUCUUCAACCGGUAUUCUGAAGAAGACCGGAGAGGCAUCGCCGCCCCAGCAGCAGCAGAAGAGGCAGAGGUUCGCGCUGGAAUUCGACGGCGUCCACUGUUUUGAAACUAUAAUUCCCUAUUGAUUUUUGUUUUUACUAAAAUUACGAGAUUGAAAUUUCAUUUAUUCUUGUCUACCAUGAUCAUUGUCAUGACUCAUGUAUGAUGUAAAUUUUGGUGAUUGAUAUAUACGUACAAUUUAUGGAUUUUGAUAUCAGUUUGUAAUUUCUCUUUUUUCUUUCAUAGCUCUGUUUUACGUCAGAGUAAAACUCCUUGUUCAUAUAGGCUUGUUGAUACACACAUAGAAUAUCUUGAUGUCAUCAUCUGCAUACGUAUAAAAUUAAAUUUUGUUCUUACUAAACUUUGAUAUAUGUAUAUUGAUCCAUAAUAUUCUCAAAAAAUCAAAUAAAAAUAUCAUGUUACAAUUUUUUUUUAAAUUUGAAUAUAGUUUAGACCAGAAGCUUGCUUCAAUCAAUUGAAAAAUUGAAGACCUCCUUUUUAGUCAUGGUUGUUUCAGUUUGAAGGCUGUUAUAAAAAAAUAAAAAAUAUAGGGAGGACACGCUAAUAUAAUGCAUAUACAAGUAGAACAGCUUUCAAACUUAAUUCGGUGCUCCAAUUUCAGCAGUCUUUCGAUUUUUAAUGGAAGAAAGACCCACCAAUAUUGAGUUGGCUUAUCCGCAUAACACUAUGGCUGGACAAUAUCAACUACCAUGCUUUAAAAAGUUCUAUCACUCUCUUGGAUAUAAAUGUUUUUCAUAUUUUAAAUAAUAUAAUCACAAAUUGUUUUGCCAACUACAAUAAGACUCCGUUUUAUAUUUUAUAAUUUAAAAAUUAAUAAAUUUAACUAUUGAUAAAUUAAAAUAUAAAAAAUUAAAGAUAGAGAAAUCAAUAAAUAAUUAGAAUUAGUUAGUGUUCAAUUAAAUUGAGAAGAUAUACAUCAUGUCGCUCGCAAAAUAUAUGACCCAAAAUAACACGCGUUGAUAAAAUUGUUAGUUUUCAAAGUUAAUUAGCCGACCCACCAAUCUUUCAAAAAGUCUAAAAUUCAACGAAUGGGAGAAUAAUUUUAGAAAUUUCAUUUCUCUCUAUUUCCACUUUACAGAAGUUUCCAGUUUUACUCCACUUCCACUAUAUAAUACUCUUUACUUCUGCAGUUUCUUUUCUUCCUACUCAAGUUAUUUCUUACCUAAAUUAAUCAACAAAUAAAUACUACUAUUUUCUUUGCCUGUUAUUUGUUAGCAAAUUGCAAGCUAGAAGCAACAAUACACCGACGGCAACGAUAAUGAUGUCAAUUUUCAGUCCCUUUGAUGCUCUUUCUGCUGAGGUUUGUGGGCAGAAGUUGAGUUUUUCUAAAGCACUCACUACUCAUGACACGACACAACAAGGUGUUGGAACUCUUGUAACAAAUAGCCAAGCCGUUGCUUCUCCGCCGUCUACUUCUUCUCUGAACAAGGCCGGAGAGGCAUCAUCUUCGCCCCAAAAUCAGCAGAAGAGGCAGAGAUUCGCUCUGGAAUUCGACGGUGUUCACUGUUUCGAAACUAUCAUUACCUAUUGAUUUCUGCUUUUACUAAAAUUACGAGAUCGAAAACUGAUUAUGAUAUAUACAAUUUUUUGGAUUCGGAUCAUAUUCACUCUUUUGUUUUGCUUAUUGGUAAAACUUCAAUUCGUAAUUUCUCGUUUUGUUUUAUAUCUCUGAUUUAUUCUUUUCGGCGAUCGGCGAUCAAAUUUAUUUUUGCAACUGAAUUUUUAUUCCAGAAAGUUUAUUAUGACUGGUAAUAUUCAUGUGCCAGUUUCUUGCAACUUCAUUGUCUAGUAUAUUGUUAGGUGAUAAAUUGUACUCCAUCAAUUUCAUUUUGUUUUGUUUAACAACAAUAGAAUAUAAAUCUCAGGACAGAACGAGUACUCUUACUAUAUUAUCGUUCUUUUUACUCUUUUUACCUGGAGAGAACGGUAGAUAUUUAAAUUUCAGGGAUUCAUAAUGGCUAAAGUUCAAGAAUUCAAGCAUUCAAAUAUUCAAGUUUAAAGUUUGAAUAACUCAAGAUCAAGAUCAUAAAAUUCAAGUAAAAAUCAAGAUAAAGUUUAAGUUCAUCAAGAUUCAAAUUUAAGAUCGAAGAUCUUAAAUCCAAAGUACAAGUCAAGAAUAAGUUCAUCAAGAUCAAGUUUAAGAGCCCGACGAAUCAGAAUAUUCCUAGAAAUUGUAAUACACAUAUUUGAAAUCAAUUAAAUAUUAUUGUUGCGAUAUUUUUUUUUUUAUCUUGAUUAUUGUUUCUAAACACAAAAUUUAUUGUCUACAAAUUCUAGCAACUCAGUGGGAUAUCAACUAAAAUUCGUGUCAAGAAAAUAAUAAUCAAAAUCGAAAAAUAUCACAACAAUUAUAUUACAAUCUCUAUGAAUCCUCUAAUUCAUCUUUUCAAGGUUUGUAAGCUUGAUCUUGAAUUUUUAUGAACUUUUUACUUGACUUGUACUUUGGAUCCAAGGGUCUUCGAGCUUGAUCUUGAAUCUUGGUGAGUUUGAACUAGAUCUUUAUCUUGAUUUGUAUUUGAAUCAAGAGAGUUUGAACUUGUUCUUGAACCUGAUUGUCUUGAUCUUGAGUUGUUCUUGAAUUUGAAUGAUUGAGUGUGUGAUUCUUGAACUUGUAGCUUAUAAAAAAAUCUAAAUUUUGGUGUUUUCAUGAUCGUAAUUCUUGAACUUGUAGCUUAUAAAAAAAUUUAAAUUUUGGUGUUUUCAUGAUCGUUUUGUGAAUAUUCAAGAGUUAUGGAAUAUUCGAAAUAUUGAUCUUUAUUAAUACUCAAGUGCAUAUGGGAUAUUCGACAUACCUUUUCAAAAAAAUAUAAUACUUUUCAUAUAGACAUUUUUAUAUAAGCAUAAAUCAUGGUUUAAGGUUGAGUAGCCUAUAAAAACUCUAAUUGGAGUUGAAUAUAUUUUGUAAAAUCUUAACUAAAAUUAAACACGUCUAACAAGAUCCACAAAAUUUUAAUAUCUACAAUAACUAUAUCUACAAGAACGAUGAGCAUACAUGUUUUAUAAUAUGUAUGGCUAUAAUUUACACGAAUUAAGCAUAUGAGUAUACAUGUUAUAAUAUGUAUGGCUAUAAUACACUCGAAUUAAGAAUAUGAGUAUAUUGAAUUAUUGAUAGAGAAAAAUUGCAGCGAAAAUAAUCCUUCCACAAGCUUAUCCGCAUAACACUGGCUUCCGAAAAAAGGGGUAAAAGGACACGCAUCAUGCACAAAUAAGACGAAACAUGACAUGUUCAAUGUUAUGUCCAAUGUGUAUUUCUUUUUAAUAUUUUUUUAAUAUUAACUGAAAUUAUAUUCCUUCCGUAUCAAUUUAAUUUGAUCAUUUUUUUUAGUUUUAUAUAUAUAUAUAUAUAUAUAUAUAUAAAAUAAUAAUGAGAAGAAAGUAGGGAGAAGGGGGAAGUUAGGGAGAAGACUUAUAAUUUCUCCGGAGGGAUAAUUAUACAAAAUUCAUCUAUUUAAAAGGGAAAAUUGACUUGGUCUCAAAGUUGAGGUUCCUAAAUUUUCUAUAACGGAUAGACAUUCACUAUAUUUAUAACACAUUCCUCCUUAAUAUCUAAUUUGUAGAUGAUGUGCCUCGUUAAAAAUCCUACUAAAAAACACUUUAAAAAAAAUACAAAAAGCUCUAGUGAAGGAAAAUAGUACACGUAUCUAAUAAUACGCAUCUAGGCUGCCUGAUUAAAAACCUUACAAGGAAAAUCCAGUGGGAUAAAACCUCGUAAGGAAAAAGAGUACAACGGGUAUUAACUCCCCCUAAUGAGAACAUCAAUCUAGAGACUUGAAUCUUCGCCUUCCAAGCUUGUGCACCAUCUUCUUGAAAGUUGUAGUUGUUAGAGACUUGAUGAAAAAAUCAGCCACAUUGUCACUCGAACGAAUUUGUUGCACGUUGAUAUCACCAUUCUUUUGGAGCACAUGUGUGUAGAAAAGGCUUGACGAAAUGUGUUUCGAACUAUCUUCUUUUAUGAAUCAUCCUUCAGGAUCAAAGAAUUUUGCAAGUUCCUCACUUCAAUUUCUUUAAGCAAAUAAUUUAUUGCCUUUUGAAAAUUCAAGAGUUUAAUUCGAGUUAUCAACUUGCAUAACAAUAUGAAAAAUUCUUGCUUGUGAUCUAUAUGAGGAUUAUAAACAAGUAUUUCAAAAACAUAUAUUAAGACUAUUAAGUAUCUAAAGUACCCACUAGGUGGGUGAAUAACUGAAUAUGUCCACAAAUAUCCUUAUGUAUACGCUAUUAGAACGCAUGGGACUCAAUCUCAACUUUUGUUUGUGAUGGUCUCACAAUUAACUUACCCUGCUAACAAGGAGUACAAAAAAAUUCACCAUUUAAAAGAAUCAUUAGGUUCUUUAAUGGAUGUCUAUUUGAAUUUUCUAUAAUUCGUCUCAUCAUUAUAGACUCAAAAUGUUUCAGGCGAUUAAAGUAUUGGAAUCAGUAAACUUUUGAUUUACUAUAGAAUGUGCCUCAAUUGCACUAAUUCUUGUUCAAUACAAACCAAAAGAUAAAGUAAGGAAUUUUUCUAUAACACAUGUCUGCUUAGAGACAUUCUUGGUUAUACCACAUCCAUAACAAGGGUCGCGACCUUUUUCACAACUAGCAUGGUUGGUAUACACCUCAUCACUUCAACGAAUGCAUCUAUAUUUUUAGCAUUUAUCAAAAGUUUCCAUUCAUCUUGACUGGAAUACAAUCAGAGUAUAUCAAAUUAUGAUAACUUAGUACCUCAUUCCACAUUCAUGUGCAUUAUUCAAUCACUUGUGUUUUUUCAGACGUAUUAUGCACUGCAGCUACAUUCACUUUAGGGAAUUGAGCGAUUUCAAUAGAAUAGGUUUCAUGACUAAUCUUCAUAAAAAACACAUUAUUUGGCCUUGGUCAUCAUUAUAUCAUCAAUAUGGUGCAUUGCGACUCAAACUCAACAUCUUAUCCAUGUAAAGGGAUGUUAUGCCAUAAAUAAAUUGAUGGGACUUAAAUCCAACAUCUUUAAUCACGGUGCACCAAUACAAUAACAUGAUGUCUUACCCUCUUGGUGUGAUUUGACUGAAUCCAAUCGUCUUGACCUCUUAGUGCAAUUGGACAUAAAUCCAUCGUCUUAUCCUUUUAGUGCAAUGAAACUUGAAUCCAUCAUCUUACCCUUAACCAAUAAUAUAAUAAGCAAAAGUGCAUAGUGCUCACCUUCGAGACUUAAGCAAUAUAAUCAUUUAUGGUGGUAAUAAUUUUGUAAACAACAAUUUGCAAAAUCAUACGUACAAAAAGAUAAAUCAAUUACAUCAGAGUUCAAAUUAAAUAGCAGCAAUAAUACUAAUGCAAGUAAGAAUAUGGUGGCCCCGUUGUUGUGCACGCAGAGAAGUUGUAUACUAAAAUUAGUAGUAGUAUAAAUUUUAAAUCAUUAGGUCUAUUAACAUCCGAUUAGCAAUAUUCUCGAAAAAGAAAAUCGGGCAGCGUGGUCAUUCGAGAUUUGUAACACUACGUUGCUACAAGUAAUCAACGAGAGGCAGCACCACAGGUUAUACAUAAAAUUUGUUUCAGACCAGCCACGUAAAUUCAGUUUAGAAUACAUAUAUUAUAUAAACUUUACAUAUAUACAUCUUGCAUCCAAAAAAACUACGAUGAGACCAAUCCAUAAAAAUAAAAAAACACCUACCAUUAACUUUUAAUGGACAAUGAGCAAUUUAUGUUGAUAACAUAUUAUGAAAUCAUGAGAAGAAAGUAGAGAGAAAAGAGAACGCUUAUAAUUGUGAUUUUACAAUGAAGAAAAUGCACGGCAGACAUUCACUAUAUUUAUAACAUAUUAAAAUUUUUGAAUUAUAACUUUUCACUAAAAAAUAAAAUAAAAAUCCAAACUAUACGCGUUAAUAGGAGAUUGUGAAUUAUAGGAAAAUUCGUUUCUCCCAUCUCCACUUCCACAUCUUACCGAUCCUAAUUGGGAAAGGAAUUCCCAAUUGUUUCCUUUCCCAACUCCCCAGGUAUAUUCCUACUUUUGUAGUUUUGGUUUUUCCUAAUCAAGGAUUAUUAUUGCAUAUAAACCAAUUGACAAAUCAAUGCUUGGUUUCAAAUUAUUUGUUAAUUUGCAAGUUAGAUCCAAAAGAAAACACCAACACGAUGAUGUCAAUUUUCAGUUCUUUUGAUGCUCUCUCCGCUGAAAUUUUGGGCCAAAAAGUGAACCACUCUUGGGCACCGCCCACUUCUGACAACAAACAACAACAAGGUGUGGGCCCUCUUGUAUCCGAUCGCAAGAUCGCCGUUUCUCCACCGUCUACUUCCGCAACCGGUAAACUGAACAAGACAGAAGAGGCGGCGCCGCCGUCAUCAUCUUCAAAAUCUCCGUCGCGCCCACGGAGGCCAAAGUUUGCACCGGAAUUGGAUGGGGUCUACUGUUUUGAAACAAUUCCUCCGUAUUGAUUUUUUUUACAUAAACACCAAAAAGAUUGAAAUUCUUUAUUCUUGUCAAUUGUCAAUUGUCAUGAUAUUAUUGAUUAUAUAUAAUUUGCUUAACUGAAAAACCUUCAAUUCGUGAUUUCUCUUUUUUGUUUCAUGUCUCUUUUUAAAAAUCUUUUCGGUGAUUCAUAUCAAAUACAAUUAACAAGUUCCACAACUGAUGAUUUUAGAAACUAUUUGUAAGAUGAAUAUAUAAGUAAAUUACUGCUUAUUUCAAAGAAUUGUUUUUAAAAGUGUGCCUUUUAAAUUAGUCUUCAAAGAUGUGUUAAAGAAGCUAAAUUUUUUCUUGGAGAAGUGGUACAGUAAAUGAAAGGAUGUGCUAGCUCUUUCUUGAAAGUAUGUUCCAUGUGGCAAGAUAAUGUGAUGAGCUUCUCCUAGGCCAAGAAUAACUAACGGAUGUUAAUUAAUUUGUUGAUUCACGUAUUUUAUUUAAUUUUGAAAAAUAUUUUGUAUUGUUAAAAUAGUUUUUUAAGAUAAUGCCUAGUACAACUCAAGAUGAUGCCUGGACCAUUCAUGGCGCCCUAUUUAUUGCAACUUCAUUGUUUAGUACUUCCAUAGUUAUAUAUUAGUUGAUCAUUUUACUCAAAAUAGUUGUCUCAUAUUAAUUUAUCACCUUACUAAUAUGCGGGUAAAAAGAAAAAUGAUCAAUCAAUAUGGAACGAAGAGAGUAGCGUAUGUGUUAGAGUGGGAAAAAGUCUCACAUUGAUUGGGAAAUGAACUGGUGGUCUCCUUAUAUGAACUUAGACAAUCAUCCCCUCAUGAGCUAGCUUUUGGGGUUGAGUUAGACUCAUGUCUCAUAUCUUUACAUGGUAUCAGAGCCAGAUCCAUCCCCGUUUGAACUCUCGAUCCACGCUCCGAUCGGGCAUGGGCAUGAGGGGAGUGUUAAAGUGGGUAAAAGUCCCACAUUGGUUGGGAAAUGGACUGGUGGUCUCCUUGUAUGAACUUGGACAAUCUCCCUCAUGAGCUAGCUUUCGGGGUGUGAGUUAGGCACAAGAAUUAAUUUAACAUGGUAUCAGAGCCAGGUCCAUCCCUGUUUGGGCUCCCGGUCCACACUCCAGUCUGUCAGACUAGGCGUUAGAGUGGAUAAAAGUUCCACAUUGGUUUGGGAAUGAACUGGUGGUCUCCUUAUAUGAACUUGGGCAAUCCUCCUGUCAUGAGCUAACUUUUGGAGUUGAGUUAGGCCCGGGUGUCAUAUCUUUACCGUAUGUUACGUUAGGAAUACAUAUAUUUAUUAUAUUUAACAAGCACAUGUGUUAUGAACCAAGUCCAACCCAAUAUCGAUAUCAAGGUCACACAUGUAGUUAUUGGGCUGACAAGAGCUAUUGGGCCUAAAGCAUCCAAGCUCCAAAGAGUAAGGUAAGGUAUGCAGCAAUAGGAGGUGAUGUCUGUUCACGAAAGAAAAUAGUUGAGCAUGCUGUAUCUGCUUAUUUAGCAUGUCUACAAGGCUGCAUCAAGACUAUGGCAGACUUUGGUUUCAUCUUUGCACCACUAUCACAACUCUUUACACAAACUCAAUUCCACCACUAUUACUCGAACCUUGAGGACAAGGUUCUUAUUGAGGACGAGAGUAUUGUUAUGAACCAACUCCAACCCAAUAUCGAUAUUAAGGUCACACAUGUAGUUAUUGGGCUGACAAGAGCUAUUGGGCCUAAAGCAAGCAAUAGGAGGUGAUGUCUGUUCACGAAAGAAAAUAGUUGAGCAUGCUGUAUCUGCUUAUUUAGCAUGUCUACAAGGCUGCAUCAAGACUAUGGCAGACUUUGGUUUCAUCUUUGCACCACUAUCACAACUCUUUACACAAACUCAAUUCCACCACUAUUACUCGAACCUUGAGGACAAGGUUCUUAUUGAGGACGAGAGUAUUGUUAUGAACCAACUCCAACCCAAUAUCGAUAUUAAGGUCACACAUGUAGUUAUUGGGCUGACAAGAGCUAUUGGGCCGAAAGCAAGCAAUAGGUCCAAUUUUAUUUGGGAUCCAGGCCCAUUUACACUUUGUUAAAAAGGACUAGGAGUUAGAAGAAUGGGGAUGAAAAACUAUUAUGUGAAGCUUUGGCUUUCUGAUCCUCUCAUCUCCUUUCUAUGGUCUUGUAUCUCAUCCCUUUCUGGUUACGUCUUUCUCGAUUUAUCUCUCCUUAGUUAGUGUAUUAUUACUUUGUUGUGCGUAUUCUACAUUAUAACUCAUAUUCAGUGAUUAAUAUAUAUAAGAGUGCUUCUGCUGGAAUUGAGUUUGUUACAACAUGUCAGUUCUUUUUUAAUAGAUUUAGUUGGGUAAGUUUCUUAGGAGCAACGAUAAAUUAAGUUUUAAGCAAAAUUUCGAUUAGUUGUUGUCGAAAAUUGAAACUUUGAAAAGCAUUUUUCAAACAAAACCUCGUGAAAGCUACAAGAUUGAAAUUGUAGGCAGCUAAAUUUUGAGCAAUUAGCGCUAAAUCAAAUUGUAGCCAUGUUACUCUGAUGUAAAUUCAAGAGAUUGACAUACUACAAUAAUACAAUCAUGUGGAAAAUCAACAUUGAAUUUAAGCGAAAGUGCUGGACAAAUAUUGACUAGAAAUGAGUGUUGGUCCACAAUAGCCUUAAGAUAUUCUUACAUGGUGUGAUAUUGUCUGCUUUGAAUCAAAUUCGUAUAAAAAAAUCACGUCAUUUAGAAAAUUUUACAAUUUAUAUAUACCGGUUAUAGAGGAUGAUGAUCAACUAGUUGUUGGCCUUUAAAGCACUGCAAUUGGUAGUUUCUGUUUUUUAGCUAACAUAAUUUGUGGGUUAAUUGCAACUAGCCAACUACUUGGUUGAAUUAGUGGAGUGUGCCAACUAAAUUGUGAGGGUCGAGGAAAAUCCCAACUUGGACCAUUACGUGUAUUUUCUAACAAACAGGCCAAAUCAAAGCACCUAGCACGCCUUAAUUUGCCAAAGUCUAUAAUUGCUAGCUAUUUGAAGUUUGGUUGACUGCUUAAUCCAUAAUUCCAUAUGCAAAUUGAACAGCUUUGAGACUUCAAUUCAUUGACCAGGUCAACAAUCCUUUGAUUUUGUUAUCAAAGAAAGUCCACUAAUAUUGAUUGGGUAUUUGGAUCCCAAACCUAUUAGAUUAUUUUUUGGGUAUGUACAUCCUAAAAAUAUACAGUGAGAGAGACAAUGAAUGGACUAUAGCAAGUGGCUUGUUGCAAAAUGGGGUAAUAGAUGCAAAAGACACGAAUAGGCGUAUGCUUAAACCACGGGAAGCAAGACACGUUUCACCAUUAUACGAACUAAUUUCCUAUUAGGAAUAACCAUUAACAACUACUCUUAUCACUUGUUCUCAUGAUAGUCCGAUACAUUAAGUAUUCCGCUUUUACAUAUAAUUUUAAAAAGUGUCCAACUUUAAAUUUUGUGAUAUAAACCGUUUAUCUUAAUAUAAAUAUAUAGUAAUUGAUUCCACGAAUUUUGUCCAAUACAAGUAUUCUAAACUAUAUUUGUGACUUAUAUAAGAGAAUUUAACUAGUUAAAUUGUGUGUCUAAUAAAAAGCUUCCACGUAAUGGAAUUAGGCAGCUUCCCAUUUAAUCCGGAAGGAAAAAUAUCAUGUCGUUCCAAAAAUAGAAGACUCGCGAGUCGUGACGCGUUCAUAAGAUAGUGGCCAUUUUAAAAUAGUGGUGAAAAAAUUAGUUCAUUAAAUUUAAAUUGAUUACUGAUUUAUUCAUUUGUUAAUUUAGUCUAUUUUAAUUUAAUUUAUUAAAAUUUAAAUUGAUAUUUAACCUAAAUUGAUCUAAGAACAAUCUCAUCAAAAUAUUUUUUAAAAGAUAAUUUUUUAUUUGAUAAUAAAGAAAAAUACUGUUAAUAUUUUAGUAGAUACUAAAAAAUUAUAAAAGAAGAAAUAAAGCAAUUAAAAGCAUAGUAAAAAUUGAACAAGUUAAAUUUUGAUCUGCAUUUUAUUUUAUUUAAACUCAAUUUAUUCCAAACCAAGUAACUUAUAACAAAUUUUUGCAUGAGUUAUCCCAAUUUCGUGGUGAUCUGUAAUUUUUAAUUCUACGCUAAAUUAAUUAAAUAAUAUGAUUAAAGUAUGCAUAACUAUGACCUGAUUUCGCAUGCAAAACUUCUGAAAAUAGCUCAAACUCAAUUCAACCAAUCCUGCCGUCCUUCUAAGUCCCAAAAUUGCGAUUUUUUUAAAAUUAAAAACACUUAUUUUGAGAUAAAAUAUUUUUUUUGGGGGAAGAAAUUAAGGUAUUUGGCUAAUUAGUAAAACUGUUUUUAAUUAGAAAUAUAAACAGUUUUUCUGUUUUUGAGAAGAAGCUAAAAAAAAUCUACUUCUUAUAAAAAGCAGAAACCAAAAUUUAUUUUUUUCAAAAUCAAAUUAUCCUUGCCAUUUAUACAUAUUUACCCAUGUGUCUCUUAUAUUUAUUUAUUUUUAUGGUGAAUUUUCAUAUGUGUUAAGUAUUCCGCUUUUACAUAUAAUUUUAAAAAGUGUCCAACUUUAAAUUUUGUGAUAUAAACCGUUUAUCUUAAUAUAAAUAUAUAGUAAUUGAUUCCACGAAUUUUGUCCAAUACAAGUAUUCUAAACUAUAUUUGUGACUUAUAUAAGAGAAUUUAACUAGUUAAAUUGUGUGUCUAAUAAAAAGCUUCCACGUAAUGGAAUUAGGCAGCUUCCCAUUUAAUCCGGAAGGAAAAAUAUCAUGUCGUUCCAAAAAUAGAAGACUCGCGAGUCGUGACGCGUUCAUAAGAUAGUGGCCAUUUUAAAAUAGUGGUGAAAAAAUUAGUUCAUUAAAUUUAAAUUGAUUACUGAUUUAUUCAUUUGUUAAUUUAGUCUAUUUUAAUUUAAUUUAUUAAAAUUUAAAUUGAUAUUUAACCUAAAUUGAUCUAAGAACAAUCUCAUCAAAAUAUUUUUUAAAAGAUAAUUUUUUAUUUGAUAAUAAAGAAAAAUACUGUUAAUAUUUUAGUAGAUACUAAAAAAUUAUAAAAGAAGAAAUAAAGCAAUUAAAAGCAUAGUAAAAAUUGAACAAGUUAAAUUUUGAUCUGCAUUUUAUUUUAUUUAAACUCAAUUUAUUCCAAACCAAGUAACUUAUAACAAAUUUUUGCAUGAGUUAUCCCAAUUUCGUGGUGAUCUGUAAUUUUUAAUUCUACGCUAAAUUAAUUAAAUAAUAUGAUUAAAGUAUGCAUAACUAUGACCUGAUUUCGCAUGCAAAACUUCUGAAAAUAGCUCAAACUCAAUUCAACCAAUCCUGCCGUCCUUCUAAGUCCCAAAAUUGCGAUUUUUUUAAAAUUAAAAACACUUAUUUUGAGAUAAAAUAUUUUUUUUGGGGGAAGAAAUUAAGGUAUUUGGCUAAUUAGUAAAACUGUUUUUAAUUAGAAAUAUAAACAGUUUUUCUGUUUUUGAGAAGAAGCUAAAAAAAAUCUACUUCUUAUAAAAAGCAGAAACCAAAAUUUAUUUUUUUCAAAAUCAAAUUAUCCUUGCCAUUUAUACAUAUUUACCCAUGUGUCUCUUAUAUUUAUUUAUUUUUAUGGUGAAUUUUCAUAUGUGGUGAUUUAAUUUGUGGAAUGAUUUUUAAAUUUAUUUUGUUUGAUAUUUUUAAUUAUAUUUAAAUUAUUAUGUUAAUAUUAUAUUAAUAUUUAAUUUUUAUUUUUAUUUAUCUUUUUACAAUAUUCAUUGAAAAUUUGAAUAUGUACAUUUUAAUUUAACAAAAAUAAUUUUAUAAUAAAUAUUUAAAAUAUUUUUUUAAAUAAAAUAAUCUUAGUAUUAGAAGUGCAUUGCUUGUCAUUUUUCGUAAUUUGACUAUCAAAAAUACUUUUUUUUUUAAAUGAUUAGCCAAACACAAUAUGCUUAUCAAAAAUAUUUUUUUCAAAUAAAUUAAUCAAAUACAAAUUAUUAUUUUUCAAAACCAUUUUAUGAAAAGCUAUUUUUAAAAUAUAUUUAAAAUAUAAACCCUUUUUAUGGGUAAUUCCAAAAGACUAAUUCCACCAAAUACUACCAAUUAUACUUGGAAAGGGAAUUAACGGCAACUUGCUUUCUCCUCUUUCCACUUUUGUUCCCCAAUUUUACUUCGGCAACACGGAUUCCAAAAUUUAACCCCUCCCUUAUUAAAUACAUCUACUUCUCCAACUUCUUUUCUUCAUUCUCAAGUUUUUACAUCGCUUACGCUUCUUACAUAAACCAAAUCCAAUACAUUUUCAUCUUGUUAUUUGUUUACCCAAUUAGAAGAAAAAAAUAGCAACAAAGAUGAUGAUGUCAAUUUUCAGUUCCUUUGAUGCUCUCUCCGCUGAGAUCUUUGGCCUAAAGGUAAGCCGUUCUUGGGCACCGGCCUCUUCUGACAACAAACAACAACAAGGUCUGGCUCCUCUUGUAUCCGAUCGCAAGACCGCCGCUUCUCCGCCGUCUACUUCCUCACCUGGUGAACUGAACAAGGCCGGAGAGGCAGCGGCGCCGUCAUCUUCAAAAUCGCCGUCGCGUCCACAGCAGCAAAGGAGGAGGCUGAGGUUUGCACCGGAAUUGGAUGGGGUCCACUGUUUCGAAACAAUUCUUCCCUAUUGAUUUUUACAUAAAGUCUAAAAGAUUGAAAUUAUUUAUUCUUGUCUGACUGUAACUAAUUAGCCCACGGCCAUCAUGGAGGUUGAUACAAUUUAGUUGUAUUAAAUUCUUUUAUUUCUUGUUUGAACAACUUCCAUCCACAUUUCUUUCUUUAAAUCUGUUUCCCAUCUUUUCUAGAGGAAGAAACAAAGAGAUUGAAAAAGCAGGGAAUAUGCUGUAUGUUUCGUCUAGUGCACGUUAAUGUAAUUCCACUAUUUUACCCCUUUCUUCGAGUUGAAAUUACGAUGUGAUAAUUCUUUACUUUUCUCGUCUGUAUCCCUUAGCUUUGGACUUCUAUUCUUUUUGGCUCAUUUUUUGUUUUCCGGUGGAUAUCCAUGUUGAAAUCCAACCAAAUUCAAAUUUAACAAACUCUUUUCCCAGGACAACAGAUGCGACUAUAAAGGCCGGACUAGUAAGCUUGCGACUAUAAAGGGGGGUAGUAAGCUCUCUACAAUAUGACUCACAUGAACAGUAGUCAUAUGGUAAGAACUUCUUGUGGACAGUCUAGUGAUUAAGAAUCAAAGGCCUGAGUAAAGCAGAUGAUAAUCUGUGCCGCGCUUGUAUUGAUCAAUAAUACUCAGCUUGUGUUACACUUAAAAGUCAUUGCUUUUAUCGAUCACUAACACUACGCUAAAAGGGGGGGAUGGAAUAGGUUAUGUACAACAAAAUCAUCGCACUAAUGAAAUUAUCCGUCAUGGCCUUGGACUUGCUUUUUUCCCUAUAUUUCCAAACCUUUUCGCUACAUUAAACAAAAAUGUCUUGGGUAUGAUUCCUUGGUCAAGAGUACAAGCAACAACCAAAGCUCCGCCAAUGAUAAGUAGCUUUGGUAUGUUUAUACUGCCCUCACGUUUUGCAGGUAAAAUCUCUAUGUCAGUCCCUGAUGAUUCCUCAUUCCCAUCCGUUGACUUCAAGUAUUCUGGAUCAAUUUUCGUAUUUACUUGGGCCAUCAAAGCACAGUGAGAGAUCUUCGCGUUAGAUGCUCUUGAUUUCUGGUAGGAACGAAGUCCACGUUCAAUCUUUCUUACAGCCCCCCACAUACCUUGCCUUACCCCAAAUUUUGCGAUUUCCCAUGGGAUGCCCAUAUCUUCGUGAUGGAAGAGAAGCACCUCACAUGCAGUCAGCUGGCCAUUUCCUUCCCUUGAUUCCACUGUUUCAUGCAGUACAGAUGGAAUUCAGAGUCAGAUGAUCAAGACUUUUAAGUCUAAAUCUUGUGAGCGACACUUGCAGAUAAGUUGAUAAGGAAUUGCAGGAAAUUCAUUCCCAGUAGGUCAAUGUGCAUGCAUUGUUAAGAAAUUGAACAGGAUGAUGCCAGUCAAGCUAAUGCACAUGUCUAUUCUAAUUCAUAGAUAUGCUAGCUAGUUGGGAAAGCAAAAGCAUGGUAAGUUAAUUUCCCAACCUGGAAAAGAAAAAGGAAUUCAAAGAAGGAAGUAAGGUCAUACCAGCUUGAAUGAACCAACUUGAAUAGUACAGGUCAACACGUCUUGGUUUGUCCUUCCUGGGAAUAGUAGGACAUGGCACUCCCUGAUUAACAAAUCACAAGGAAAAUCAUAAUUAGAGGGGACCUCCAAAUAUAGGAAAAUCAGCUCAGAGUCAAAUGGAAGAGGAUUAAUAAACAAGGGUGUAGCAAUUCAUUGGUUUCUUUCCAUUAAUUUGUGGCGUUGGGUGGGGUGAAGGGGAUGGUUAAAUGUUUUCAGGUGGUCCGUUAACUGUGGCAUAGAAGGAGAAUACUUUUGAUGUUUCAGGCCUCUCAAGCUCUGCCCAUCCUCCAUUUCUCUAAUUGAAGUCCAAAGAAGGAUUUUGUGGAAGUUAGAGAAUCCCAAGCAAGUAAACUGACAUCAACUACACUCUUCACAGAACUAUUUUUUUAAUAUUAUGUUUCAAAAAGAAUCAUUGUCUUGUGGCUCCUUGUUACUGUAUCUAGGACCAGCUUAAGCGUCGGUGCCACAAUAGGUAUGAUCUCACAACUAGAUAACCUGACAAUUGUGCUGCCUAGAUCAAAUAGGAAUUUCCACAAGAGAUGCCAUCCACUAAACAACUCCAAGGUCUUUGAAUGACUCAAAGUUGCAUCAUGGACUCUGCACCUAAUGAUAUCAGCCAACAAUUCUACUAACAUAUUCAUCCAUUUCACAGGCCCUAGACCGAUUCAUUUAUGGAAGAACUCAAGCAAACAGCACGUCAUCAAUCAGACAAAUAGGCAGUGUGUAAGCAUAACAUGAGACCAACUUAAACAUAGUAAUUUGCCACCUUAUCGGCUGAAUACUUGAAGAAAUGAAGAGUCAGAACGAGAAAAACAUCUAAAUCAAAAGAAAAAAGGAUCGGCUAUAUGAAACCAUGUUGCUCCGUUUAAGCUCAUUUGAAUACAAUAUUAUACAAAAUAAGAACAAAAGAAGGGAAACUACUUGAAGUUCUGUACCUUUGUUACACAAUAAUAUGACCUUCCUGACUCCCAUAUUCGACGAGCAAAUAUAUAUUCUCUGUCGCUGCAGAAAAACGGGAACUGCACAACAAGUAUCCAAAUGAAUUAACUACUUAUUAGCUAAACAAAAUACCGAGUUUACAAAAGAGUACAUUGCAUAUUCUUACUUUUCGAACCCAGUGUACUACCAUCAUUCCUGUUGUGGGGCACUCUUCUAUCGUUUCAGCAUGUACAAGCAUGUCAUCCCACUUCACUCGAAACUCAUCAUCCCAAAAGAAAUCCCUCAAUAAUUCAGGUGUUGCGUCCUCAUACACAGUUCGGCUGCAAUAUUGAGGGGGACCAGUCUAGAAAAACAACAAGGAAAAAUCAAUAAGCAAGCCAGGCAAAGGGGAAAAGAUAUAGCAAUACAUUAGACUAUAGGCUUUACUACCUCCGGAUGACGCUGCCACGCUUGAUAGCUCAUAUUAGGGGUGGAAUGAUCCAUCAUGUGUUUCCACGUAGGGCCUCCAUCUUUCCUCUCAACAAGAUGCCACAAAUGAUCCAAAUCUUCAUCUGAUAUUGGUAAAGUAUUCAGCCUCGAUGGACUAAGACAGAAAAAGGGAAAACAGUGUGAGUAGUGAGUAGUGACCCCAUCCAAUCAAGAUGAAACCAAAAUUAUUGAAAAAUUCUCGAACUUGAACAACCAGAGUCAGCAUUGUAUUGUAUUGCUGGUUUGAAUGCAAUGUUUGUUUCGAUUGUUACUUAAAUUUUACUAUAUCGUAUUGUUAAAUCCAUGUUCCAUAACAACAAAAAGUAUGUAACAACCGAUUUGGUGUUAUCGCCUCAUUACCUAUCUUUUUCUUCUCAUAUUAUCUUUGCUUGUUAUCUAAUAAUCCUAUUGUAGAUUUGUCCAUCAUAUUGCUCAUGUGUGACACUAUUUAACAAGAACCGAUACAAUCUAUCCAAACAUUGUAUUCAUCAAGACAAUACAAUACAUUAAGCAACAAUAUGUAACAACCACCCAAACAAAGUAUAACAAAGCAUAAACUUUUAUAUUUGAAAUAAUGAAUAGAGCUUACCCACUGUCAAAUUGUUCAAUCUCUGAGCCAGCAUCCGCAUAAGAAGCAAAACUAGGGGUAGGAGCCUCGGAGGACUGAAAACCCAGGGGUUUGGAGGUAGAAGGAACCGAAGCAGAGGGGGAAGAAGGUACUGAAAAAUCAAAUUUACAAUUCUUCCAUGCAGCCCAUUUAGGUUUCCAAAUCCAUCCCACCGUAAUACCCACAAGAAAAGCAAUCCAAACAGGACCAAGAAACACCAUAAUCUCUACAAAUACUGCACCUAUGGUGGGUCUUUCAAGAAUCUCCAAAAAUUCCUCAACUAACACCAUCCUACAUCUAUAUCAAAUUAACCAAAAAAAAAUAAAAUACAAGCGAUAAAUCGAUUACCCAGAAAGGUGAAAGAAGAUGAAUAUUUUGAUAUGGAUAAAAUAGAAAAGGAGAUGAAAGGUAAUCUAUGGUGGUGAGGAAUUUAUUGUUGUGUGAAGAUACUUGAGUAAAGGAUUAAAUGCGAGAAAGAAGGAAGGAUGAUUUGGUUGUUUGGAUAAGAAGAAGAUAGGAUAAUGGUCAUCAGCAAAAUAGUGGACUGUUGGUGCGUUAAGAGUGGAAAUCUCGAGGGGAAUCGGAUGGGGACAAAACGACGGAGCAUCCUAUGUCGGUGUUUUCUGUUGUAGAAAACGCCGCAGUGUGAGGCCAAUUGAUGCUCUUUCUACACCUGUGUCAUAUCCUUACAUUUCUACUCCCUUUAUUUUUCAAUUGGUUUUUGGUAGUUGGUACUAUUACUUUUUCGAAAAAAUAAAAAAUGGUAGGUGUUUGGUGUUUGGAGUUUGGACAUAGAACUUGGAAGCAUGAUUUCAAGUUUUGAUUUUAAAUAGUUUUUUUAUUUAUGAAAUUUGUAUAAAAUUUCCUAUUCAAACAAUCAUGAUUUUAGAUUUUUAAAAAUUUUAUUUAUAAAUUUAUAUUUGACAUGAAUAGAUUGUCGUAUUAGGUGAGGAUUUUAUUAGAGGGUAGCUAGUGACUACUACGGGUUGAAUAUUGAAUUAGUAAUUUUUUGUAAAAUCAUGUGCAUUUAAUAGUUUGUAAAAUCACAACUAUGAUGUGUGUACACUCUUUCUUUUGUUUAAAGAUUAUGGUGUAUGACCGUCCAAAUUGAAAAACAAUUUCACUGUGGUAAAUUAAUAUUAGGUUAAAAGUUAAGGUUAAAGAUUAAAAUUUAUUAUUGUAUAAAUUAAUUUAUUUCAACCAUGACAUUCACCAUCUACUUCUCCACAUUCUUAGUUAUUGUCUCGUUUCUAUCGUGAUAUCGAUAUCUCGACUUGAAAGGGUAGAAUUUAGAGUUUCCAAGAAGUAACCUAAAAAUAUAUUUUAAAAAAUUAAAAUUAAUGUUUCGGACCAUCUACUUCCCCACAUUCAUAGCUAUUGUCUCUCAUCUAUCGUGAUAUCGAUAUCUCGAUUUGAAAGGGUAGAAUUUAGAGUUUUCAAGAAGUAAACUAAAAAUAUAUUUUAAAAAAUUUAAAAUUAAUGUUUUGGCAAAAAAAGUUAUUAUAUAUGUCAAGUGGAUGAAGAUUUUAUGAACAAACAUACCUAGAGCAUUUUUAGACAAACAUUUGCUCUAGUCAACGUCUAGUUGUGUUCACUUACUAUUGUGUGAUAGUUUAAGUAAGAAACUCAUACUCAAUAGCUCAAGGACGAAGAUAUCAUGAUUUCAUAUUUCGAUAUGAAAUCAUAUGUCCAAACACUUACUUAUAAAAGGAACACGAGCAUAUGCAAUUUAUUAAUUGACGGCUUAGAAUAUUUCGAUAUCUCAUUUAUGAACUAUAAUUUACCUAUUUGGUAAAAUUAUAUAAGAGUUGAUAUCUAUAAACAUUUCGAAACAAUUUAUGUAUAGGUUAUUUGAUACUUAAAUUAUGGGAUGUUGUUCCUAUCCUCUAAACUAUUACUCUCUCCGUCUCAUUUUAUAUGUCACAUUUUUACUUUGCACUUGCAUUAAGAAAUGAUGUAACUUUACCCUUCUACCCUUAUUUAAUGUUUGCUUAAGUCAAUUUAUUAAUAAAUGACAAGAUUAAUUAACUAUUCUUUCAAGGGUAUAAUAAGCAAAAUAUGGUAAUUUAUGCAUAGAUUUUAUAAAAUAACAAGUAUUAUGGUCCAACUAUUUAUAGAAAAGAAUGACAUAUAAAAUAGGACGAAGGGAGUACAUUUUCAAUAUAAAAACUCAUUGCAACGCCAAAUAAUACACAUAGUAACUUCUCUCUUUGUCACGCCCCAAACUCGAGGGACGCAACUGGCUCCUAAUGCCAAAACUCAGGUCCGAGCCGACCCUGCUGAUCCAUUUGCUACUAGCGCAUGGCAGCCACACGCAAUCAAGAAAUCAAACAAGUAUAUCUCGGCUUAAAACUAAGUCAUCGGCCGGCAAGGCCCCUGUCAACUGAUCUAUAAAAGAAACAGCUACUCCCAGGAGAUCAUAUAAAUAAAUAGACAACUAGUACAGAAGUCCUGAUUGGGCCGUCGAGGCCACCAUGAUAUCUAUACCAAAANNNNNNNNNNNNNNNNNNNNNNNNNNNNNNNNNNNNNNNNNNNNNNNNNNNNNNNNNNNNNNNNNNNNNNNNNNNNNNNNNNNNNNNNNNNNNNNNNNNNNNNNNNNNNNNNNNNNNNNNNNNNNNNNNNNNNNNNNNNNNNNNNNNNNNNNNNNNNNNNNNNNNNNNNNNNNNNNNNNNNNNNNNNNNNNNNNNNNNNNNNNNNNNNNNNNNNNNNNNNNNNNNNNNNNNNNNNNNNNNNNNNNNNNNNNNNNNNNNNNNNNNNNNNNNNNNNNNNNNNNNNNNNNNNNNNNNNNNNNNNNNNNNNNNNNNNNNNNNNNNNNNNNNNNNNNNNNNNNNNNNNNNNNNNNNNNNNNNNNNNNNNNNNNNNNNNNNNNNNNNNNNNNNNNNNNNNNNNNNNNNNNNNNNNNNNNNNNNNNNNNNNNNNNNNNNNNNNNNNNNNNNNNNNNNNNNNNNNNNNNNNNNNNNNNNNNNNNNNNNNNNNNNNNNNNNNNNNNNNNNNNNNNNNNNNNNNNNNNNNNNNNNNNNNNNNNNNNNNNNNNNNNNNNNNNNNNNNNNNNNNNNNNNNNNNNNNNNNNNNNNNNNNNNNNNNNNNNNNNNNNNNNNNNNNNNNNNNNNNNNNNNNNNNNNNNNNNNNNNNNNNNNNNNNNNNNNNNNNNNNNNNNNNNNNNNNNNNNNNNNNNNNNNNNNNNNNNNNNNNNNNNNNNNNNNNNNNNNNNNNNNNNNNNNNNNNNNNNNNNNNNNNNNNNNNNNNNNNNNNNNNNNNNNNNNNNNNNNNNNNNNNNNNNNNNNNNNNNNNNNNNNNNNNNNNNNNNNNNNNNNNNNNNNNNNNNNNNNNNNNNNNNNNNNNNNNNNNNNNNNNNNNNNNNNNNNNNNNNNNNNNNNNNNNNNNNNNNNNNNNNNNNNNNNNNNNNNNNNNNNNNNNNNNNNNNNNNNNNNNNNNNNNNNNNNNNNNNNNNNNNNNNNNNNNNNNNNNNNNNNNNNNNNNNNNNNNNNNNNNNNNNNNNNNNNNNNNNNNNNNNNNNNNNNNNNNNNNNNNNNNNNNNNNNNNNNNNNNNNNNNNNNNNNNNNNNNNNNNNNNNNNNNNNNNNNNNNNNNNNNNNNNNNNNNNNNNNNNNNNNNNNNNNNNNNNNNNNNNNNNNNNNNNNNNNNNNNNNNNNNNNNNNNNNNNNNNNNNNNNNNNNNNNNNNNNNNNNNNNNNNNNNNNNNNNNNNNNNNNNNNNNNNNNNNNNNNNNNNNNNNNNNNNNNNNNNNNNNNNNNNNNNNNNNNNNNNNNNNNNNNNNNNNNNNNNNNNNNNNNNNNNNNNNNNNNNNNNNNNNNNNNNNNNNNNNNNNNNNNNNNNNNNNNNNNNNNNNNNNNNNNNNNNNNNNNNNNNNNNNNNNNNNNNNNNNNNNNNNNNNNNNNNNNNNNNNCCUAAAUUUUAGAGAAAUCUUUAAAAAGGAACUUACGAUAACUUUCGCCAACUUUUAUUUUGCCACUUACCUAACUUCAAAACAUGAGAUGCAACACUUGAACACUUAAAUUAGGACAUACCACAUCAUUCUAAAUUUAUUACCCACCCUCCUUGUCUUUCCGUGGAGAUACGAGUAAUUUUAGACGUUUCAAAAAGUCGGGGUGUUACAUUCUUCCUCCCUUAGAAACAUUCGUCCUCGAAUGAAAAAUCUGAGUCACAUGGUUAAGUCCUUAAGGAUUGACAAAAUUUAGGUAGAGUAUCCUUUUUAAAUACGAAUAGCCAGGAACCUAGAACGCAGAAAUUCUAACCUAAGCGUCUCACAGGAUGACAUAAAUAGCUAAGCACUAUAGCUCCACCAUAACAGUGCGAGCAGAUAUACAACAACAACCAUAAUAAUAAUAAGCAAUAAUACAUAUAAUUUUAUUUUUUUUAGAUUGGUAUCUUACCUUACUGAUCUAAUAUAAACUGAUAUGCCAUCACCCUGGGGUAUGAAACAAGUGAGGAUAUUUGGACCUCAUGCCAUCCUCAGCUUCCCAGGUCACCUCUUCUCUAUUUUUGUUCCUCCACAAUACUUUAACCGAAGACACCUCUUUGGUCCUCAAUUUACGGACAUGCANNNNNNNNNNNNNNNNNNNNNNNNNNNNNNNNNNNNNNNNNNNNNNNNNNNNNNNNNNNNNNNNNNNNNNNNNNNNNNNNNNNNNNNNNNNNNNNNNNNNNNNNNNNNNNNNNNNNNNNNNNNNNNNNNNNNNNNNNNNNNNNNNNNNNNNNNNNNNNNNNNNNNNNNNNNNNNNNNNNNNNNNNNNNNNNNNNNNNNNNNNNNNNNNNNNNNNNNNNNNNNNNNNNNNNNNNNNNNNNNNNNNNNNNNNNNNNNNNNNNNNNNNNNNNNNNNNNNNNNNNNNNNNNNNNNNNNNNNNNNNNNNNNNNNNNNNNNNNNNNNNNNNNNNNNNNNNNNNNNNNNNNNNNNNNNNNNNNNUAGAGCCCUGCAUAGUUUUCGGCCGAAAAAGUAGCCUUGACUGGUAAGAAAUGGGCUGACUUUGUUACUCUAUCAACAAUUACCCAAAUUGAGUCAAACUUGCGAUGAGAUCGAGGUAGUCCUGUAANNNNNNNNNNNNNNNNNNNNNNNNNNNNNNNNNNNNNNNNNNNNNNNNNNNNNNNNNNNNNNNNNNNNNNNNNNNNNNNNNNNNNNNNNNNNNNNNNNNNCGGCCGGCUAGUGAAUAUGUAUGAUUCUGGCCACUACCAGAACUAGAUGCUCCUUCUAUGCCUCUGCCUCUACCUCUACCUGCUGAAGUCUGGGGUCCACGCCCCGUAGACUGUGCUGAUGAAGAGGAACCUACUACUGACCUGGUCGACUGACUUAUACCACCCUGACCUAUGGUUGGGCAAUUUCUCCACCCAUGCCCCUCUUGUCCACAAGAAUAACAACCUGUGGAACCCUGUUUGCACCUCCCGAAAUGCAUCCUACCACAAGUUGCGCAACGCGGCGGUGCUGUGCUAGUCUGGCCCGAGCCUCUCUGCUGCUGAGAGCCUGAUACUCGUGAACCCUCACCUGGGCCUGACUGUCCCUGACGAUCAAAAUCUACUCCCCCUGGAACUGCUGUGGUGGAGGUCUAGGUGGCCUACUAGAAUAUCGACGUUUGGGACCAUNNNNNNNNNNNNNNNNNNNNNNNNNNNNNNNNNNNNNNNNNNNNNNNNNNNNNNNNNNNNNNNNNNNNNNNNNNNNNNNNNNNNNNNNNNNNNNNNNNNNNNNNNNNNNNNNNNNNNNNNNNNNNNNNNNNNNNNNNNNNNNNNNNNNNNNNNNNNNNNNNNNNNNNNNNNNNNNNNNNNNNNNNNNNNNNNNNNNNNNNNNNNNNNNNNNNNNNNNNNNNNNNNNNNNNNNNNNNNNNNNNNNNNNNNNNNNNNNNNNNNNNNNNNNNNNNNNNNNNNNNNNNNNNNNNNNNNNNNNNNNNNNNNNNNNNNNNNNNNNNNNNNNNNNNNNNNNNNNNNNNNNNNNNNNNNNNNNNNNNNNNNNNNNNNNNNNNNNNNNNNNNNNNNNNNNNNNNNNNNNNNNNNNNNNNNNNNNNNNNNNNNNNNNNNNNNNNNNNNNNNNNNNNNNNNNNNNNNNNNNNGAGGUUUUUUUUUUUUUUUCAUUUUUAGUUUUAAAGAAAUAAUUUGUAGCCACGUUAAUAUAUUUUAUUUAUCUUACAUCAUAAAUUUUAAUAUAUUUUUUACUUAAAAUUAAUAAAAGUUAAAUAUCAUCACGACAGAAAUAAUUCCUUUUUUCAAUAUCUCACUUAACAUGGAGUAUUUAUUUAAUAGCAUAAAUACAAAGAACAUUUUAUUACCAAUACAUAUCUUAUUUUAAUUUAUUUUUUUAUAUGGAACACUUGGAAUAUGUUUAUGUACACGUGUGUGAGGAGUUGGGGGGUGGGGUGGGUUGUUGAGUGAAAAAGAGAGAUCUGGAGAAAUGUAGGCUUCUACGUGGCAAGUGUGUAGAUUAAAGUAAAGCCAAAUAGACAAACCAAAAAUAUCAAACUGAAAAAAAUAAAAUGGAAUCAAAUGCUCCAAAAAUAUAUUUAUUGGUUUUGGUUUGAUGCAAAUUUUCAUAUUUAAUAAGGAAAAACCCCCAGCAAUAAUAGUUGAACCACAAUUUUUUUUUUUCCAUUCGAUGUUCAAUUUUGCACCGAGAAGUCCUAUAUUGGAGGUGUACUCCCUAAUAAAGGUGAUUUCAUAUCUAAGGGAACUCAAAUUCGAUAUCUCUUGAUUAAGGAUGAAUAAGUACGUAUCACUCCACCACAAUUCUUAUUGGUAAACCACAAUUAAAUCAAUUCCAAUUACAUUAUAUAACACUUUCAAUUUUAGGUCUAGAAAUUGAUUAAAAUAUAAUGUACCUUGUUUAAUUUUCAACCUUUCUUUAACAUGGAGGUGUAGUCUUUGACAUGUGGUUUUUGGAAUCCACUGUUAUUGUGUCAAUUGGCCUAGUAUUUUUAAUUUACUUAAUUUAAUAAGCAUAUUGUGUUAUGAAUCCCAAGUUGACUAGGAAAUUUUAAUAGGUUAGUUGAUUAAUUAUACUAAAUUUUAUUUUAUCAGUGAGGAUUUAAUUUCCACCUGAAAAUUAAUUUUCAAAAUUAGAUUUGUCAUUUUGAUGCGCCAAAAAUUAGCUAAAUUCGAUGAUUAAUGAAUUCUCAAAUAAAGAAAUUACAUCUUAUUCACUUAGGAAUUAAAAUUAGGUUUUUCUAACUCAAAACACCAAUUAAAUUAUGAAACUACUGAUGGAUUAGCAAGAAAGUAAUAAAUAUUAGGUUAUAUUCUUACCUCCAAAUUGAAUCAUAAAAAUCCUCUUUGAAAUUGCAUAAAUCAAACUCUCAAAGUCUCAAAAUCGAGUUAUGAACACGUAAAAAUCUAUAGAAGCGGAAGGAACCUGCCACGGUCAAAAUUAUGAAAAUCGUGUGGAUACCUAUUCUAUUUUAACUCGAUAGGCAAAUCUUUAUCACUCAUACCCAGAGGCGGACCCACACUAUGGAGAAGGGGCGCAAAACUUCCGAAAAAAUCAUAUGUAUAUUUAUUUUGAAAAACUGGUAGAAAUUAAGAUAUAGUUAACAGUGCACUCAUGAGAUGCAUAGAAGCGCUCUUGUGCUAGUGGUACAAGCUAGGAGUAUCACCUUUGAGACCAGGGUUCAAAUCUAAAGCCUUUUUUUUAUUGUUUUUAUUUUAAGUUUAGCUUAGAGCUCAUAUUUGAGUUAAGGUUAUAUUGGUGCACCCAAAGUCUUCAAAUCCUAGAUUCGCCUCUGCUCAUACCUAUUUAAAUAAGAAAAAUCUUUUAGGAGACAUAACCGGAUUAACAAAGUAAAAUAAAAUAAGAAAAUCUAUUCGACUUACAAAAUCAUUAACAACUCUCAUGGAUCUAGUCUAGACAUGUAUAAGAGUUGCUAUCUAAAGAAUAAGAGUCUCGACAAGGAAUAGAUUUGUCUAUAAGCACGAAAUUGAUGUGGCAAACUAUAUCACAACGACAGGCUCACAAUGUAGGGCAACUUUCAUUAAGCUUUGGAUCUAAGAAUUCUAUGAUAUAUGGAGAGUUUGGGAUUUUUCUCUCUGGUCUCUUUGGGUUUAGGUUGAAAAAUAUUUAAAUUGGAGAAGAUGAGAUUUCUCUCGACCACCGCCCUAUAGGGCUCAUCUCUGGUGUUUGUAGUCUCACAAAACUGUGAAUAUCUCUCUAUUCUGAAGUCGUAUGAAUGAACGGUUUGAUGCGUUGGAAACUAGACUCGUAGACCUUCGAUUCGAUAGUUUGUGGACCCCAUAACUCUUUAUAUAUUGGGAGAAAACCUCCAAAACAUUUGACCCAAAUUUCAGAGAAAUCUUUAAGAAGGAACUUACGAUAACUUCCGCCAACUUUUAUUUUGCCACUUACCUAACUUCAAAACAUGAGAUGCAACACUCGAACACUUAAAUUAGGACAUACCACAUCAUUCUAAAUUUAUUACCCACCCUCCUUGUCUUUCCGUGGAGAUACGAGUAAUUUUAGACGUUUCAAAAAGUCGGGGUGUUACACUCUUUAUUAUGUGUGAGAAUUAAAAAAUAUAAUUUACAUAAAUCACUUAGUGUUAAGAGCUAAGUACAUUAUUUUACUACUCUUUUUCAAAUUACAAAAAUUCCUUAAAAUUUAUGAAUUUUGGAUACAUUACUUGGACUUCCGGAUACAUCACUGGACAUCCAGAUACAUAGAAAAGGGAUAUAUCUGAGAGGGGAGAGAUGUAUCAGAGAGGGAUAGGACAUCUAGAUACAUAGGAGAGAGAGAUAUUCGAGAGGGGAGAGAUGUAUCAGAGAGGAGAGGAAUGUAUCCGAAAGGGGAUAAGAUGUAUUAGCGAGAGGAGAGUGAUGUAUCCGAGAGAUUUUUGAAAGUUUUUUAAAUGGUAGAAAAUUUUAAAAAUUAUGAUAAAAUAAAAUGUAUAUUAAAAUAAUUUUUCCUUAAAAAUAAGUCGGAACCUACCCCAUCCAUAUUGGAUUUACUUCUAAUUCAUUUAAAAGGAUGUUCAAGAAUUUGUUACAUUAAGCAAAUGCCUAAGGAUAUUUGGAGUUCAAUUCAGUGAACGGUUAUCUCGUAUGGUUUUCACAAGGGUUUGGUUUUCAACAGCCUCGAUGCAGGCACCACCCUAAGAAUUGAAUGGAAAAAUUGAAUGAAGACAUUCGAUUGGACAGAUUUUCGUAUACACCUACCAUUUUUCGGACCAUCUACUUCCCCACAUUCUUAGCUAUUGUCUCGUUUCUACCGUGAUAUCGAUAUCUCGACUUGAAAUGGUAGAAUUUAGAGUUUUCAAGAAGUAAAUUAAAAAUAUAUUUUUAAAAAAUUAAAAUUAAUGUUUCGGCAAAAAAAGUUGUUAUACAUGUCAAGUGGACGAAGGUUUUAUGAACAAACAUGCCUAGAGCAUUUUUAGACAAACAUUUGCUCUAGUCAAUGUCUAGCUGUGUUCACUUACUAUUGUGUGAUAGUUCAAGUAAGAAACUCACUCUCAAUAGCUCAAGGACGAAGAUAUCAUGAUUUCAUAUUUCGAUAUGAAAUCACACGUCCAAACGCCUACUUAUAGAAGGAACACGAGCAUAUGCUAUUUAUUAAUUGACGACUUGGGAUAUUUCGAUAUUUCAGUUAUGAACUAUAAUUUACUUAUUUGGUAAAAUUAUAUAAGAGUUGAUAUCUAUAAACACUUUGAAAUUAAUACUUAAAUUAUGGGAUGUUGUUACUAUCCUCUAAACUAUUACAUUUUUUCAAUAUAAAUACUCACUGCAACGCCAAGUAAUACACGGAGUAACUUCUCUCUUUAUUAUGUGCGAGAAUUAAAAAGUAUAAUUUACAUAAAUCACAUAGUGUUAAGAGCUAAAUACAUUAUUUUACUACUCUUUUUUAAAUUACAAAAAUCCCUUAAAAUUUGUGAAUUUCGGAUACAUCACUUGGACUUCCGGAUACAUCACUGGACAUCCAGAUACAUAGAGAAGGGAUAUAUCCGAGAGGGGAGAGAUGUAUCAGAGAGGAAUAAGACAUCCAGAUACGUAUGAGAGAGAUGUAUCCGAGAGGGGAUGUAUAAGAGAGGUGAGGGAUGUAUCCAAGAAAGGAUAAGAUGUAUCAACGAGAUGAGAGUGAUGUAUCCGAGAGGGGAUUUUGUGAAAAAAUUUCAAGUGAUAGGAGAUUUUAAAGAUUAUGAUAAAAUAAAAUUUGUAUUUAGGUAAUUUUUCUUUAAAAAUAAGUCGAAAUCUACCCCAUCCAUAUUGGAUGUACUUCUAAUUAAUUUAAAUGGUGUUUACCCAAUGAAACACGUGAAAGGUAAGUACUAAAAAUAGUAAGUUGGAUUAAAUACAAUUAGUGUAAUUAUAAUAGUUCAGUUGAUUAAUUAUUCUAAUCCAACCAAUUUCUCUACUUGUCCAGCAGUAGAGAUAGUACUUUAAUUACAGAUUAAACCGAACUCAAAAGCUUUAAUUCAAAUCUUAAAUUUGUAAAAAAAUGGAAAAAAAGUGCUAAUCUUGUUAAUGAUGGUAGAAUUAGGUGAAUGUUAAUCACAAUUACUGCUACUAUAUAUACUAUUUGUCUGUUCUUCCAUUUUCCCUCCUACCACUUACAAGCAACGUGUCAGCUUUGCCAUAUUUCAGUUUCCACACCGAUGGCAGCUUCUACCUUUGUCUCUGCAACAAGCAUGAACUCUCUCUGUAAACCCUAAGCUCACCUCUUUAAUUUCACUGUCCACAAUGCUCUGUUCCAUCUCUACCCAGAAAUCGGCCGGUUCAAACUGGCUAGACCGGCUCCGAUCAUCAAAGGGCUUCUCCUUUGCCGACAACCGCAAUCUCGAACAAUUUAUCACUCACCAGACUCCUAAUGGAUCUGAUUCUCUUCCUCCCAGCACCGAAACUGAGAUAAGAGACAGUAAUAAUAAUAUCGGUUCGGAAUCCAGCUCGGAUCCAAUUCGGCCCGUAAACGAACCGGUCCUCCAUCGGGACCAAGCUCCGGCAGCACCACAUAACAGUGGAGACAACGAAGAACUGUGUAGUGUAGUUACGAAUGUUCUCUCCGAGCUAUUUUGUAUGGGGGAGUCAACUAGUUUCCCUAAGUUCAGUGUAAAAAGGGGCUCCCGCAAACAGACGAACCCUAGGUUUUGUGCUUCAUCGGAAAUCAACAGCGAUGCGGUAGUCGAGGGUGGUCAGAGGAAAGAAGAAACUGAGUCGCUGGACAAAUGUCGGGUGGAAAUUAAGGAUUCUCAGGUCAAGCUAUUAGAGCAGGGCCAUAAUUUGAACUUAGCGGAAGAGGAGGACAAGUCCAACGCCAAUUUGAUGGGAUUUUCACGGACUGAAGUAAUGGUGAUAGAUACGAGCUGUGCACCGUGGAAAUUUGAGAAAUUGCUUUUCAGAAAGAAGAACGUUUGGAAGGUUCGUGAUAAAAAAAGUAAGACGCUGAAUUGGGGGAAGAAGAAGAGGAAAGCUGAUGUGACAAGUGAGGAUGCUCGUGGCGAGAAGAAACAGAAGUUUAUAAGCGGGCAUGAUGGUUAUGCUGCAAAAGGGAGAGAAUGCAAGUCUUCAGUCAGUGAAGUAAGUUCAAUUAAACCAAUUAUGCUACUAGUGAUCAUGUUUGGUUAUAUGCUUGUUUGGUAGUACUCAGUAAUUAAGAUCCUUUUUAUGGAGUGUGAUCAAAUACUGACAUCUAUGUAUCACAUGCUUCGUGUUACUGAUGGAAGUUUUUUUAAUUAUGUAGAGUUCUUGUUAUUUUAUGUUUCAAUAAUGCAAGAAGCAAGUUAAAUCUUCCAUAUCUUCGUGGUUCUCAUAUGGAUGAUGUCGUAAAUGCACAUGUAGAAUGUAUCUGCAUAUCAAUUAAGCUCAUAUAGGUUUGAUGUAAUGGAACUACGCAUGCCCAAUUUAAUGAUGGCUAGUGAUAUGGUCAUAUGACCUACAUAUUCGAUCUUGGUUUCACUUCACAAGUGCAUUGUGAAUUAGAACGUUGGUCACAAUAGAUAUAUGAACGCUUAAUUAUAUCAAGCUAGCUAAUAUGUUCCAACUUUCUUUUGCGUUAAGUUGCUUGCUUAUCAAAAACAGUAGAUACAAGUAAGUGUAAACUAAUUAUUGGAAAAAGUAUUCUCGCCAUCAGUAUAUUGUUUAAUCUUGACUAGGGUUUAGCAUAUACUGGAGCUACUUUAGGAUGACCGAAGCAUACCAUGUUACUUUCUAAAGAAGGCUUAAUUUUUAGUGCAUAAUUACUUGUCAUCCUUGUGCAAAUGGACUAUCCUUUUCUGUUACUACUAUAUCAAGCAUUUUUAUAUGGAUUUCAAGCUCCAUUUGAAAUGUAAACUCUGAUCAUGUAUAUUACUUAGUAGCCUUCCGUUUGAAAAUGAUGAUAGUGGGUCGCUAUGCUGCUAUUUCUAAGUCAUGUUUAUCAUUAACUAUACUUCAUGUUUUUAUCAAAACAUUCACCACAUUAAUGUGUUGGAGCUCUCCUCUCUGAUAUUUAUGGUAGCUUUGCAUCGUAUGCCUCUUGCAACGUUGUGGGGUAAAAUUCAUUUCUAGUUGUGCUGUUCUCCGAAUGAAACUUUUCUUCUU
rnacentral:lncRNA from 1 species